rnacentral:lncRNA from 1 species
UAUAAAGAAAAAGUUGGUUAAAAAAUUGUAGAAGAAACUCCGAGGAACCCUAAUUUUAAAGAAAUUAAAAUGGUAUAAAGUUGAGGAUUUUUCCGAAGAAAUUUAAGAGUAGUGUAAAACAUACAAACAAACACACUUAGCAUUCAAAAUAGCACAUAUCUAAGAGAUUCAAAUGAGAGUUACGAUUUUAAAGAAAACCCAAGCAGAAAUGGAAGAAUUUGUGGUAAACUUCAAAGAUCGUGACAUAUAUGGUGUGAUUUUGCCCGAAAUUACACUGGAUAAGGCAUGAACAGCCGAAAAAAAACCUAGAUCCAAAUCGGCAUGGCCCAUGACCCUUGAAGGCCUCAGAGAUUAUGCAAAAGGUGAGGGAGAAACCAUUGGAGGCUUGGGGUUGAAAGUUGGUCGCCAGUGAUGCCCAAAGAAGGGAGGUAAUUGGAAAUGUGUAGGGUUAGGUUGAGAGAAGAGAGAAGAUGAAAGGAUUUGAAGGCGGCGAAUUUAGAAAACGGUUUAUGGCUAGGGUGUGUAUGAAUUAACAAGGGAAUUCACAAAUUAGGGUCGUUGAUCAUUUAGAUCAUCGGCUAUGAUCUGAUGGUUUUUGGAUUGAGAAAGAGUGUUUGGGGCUUGGUUUGGGUUAUUUAAUAGGAGAUUGCGCUGGGAUUGGGUUAGAAUUAAGGUUAAAUGGAAAGCCAAAUCCCGGUAUGAUUUAGAUAGCCAAUUUUCCAAUUUUAAUUUUAAUAAAAAUAAUAAAUAGUUUUGAUAAUAAUAUUUCUAUACCAAAAUGAUUAAAAAUGUAUUAUUAUCAUUUUAAAAAUAUAGGGGCCAAUUAUAUACGUAUAAACUAUAGUUAUACAUUAAAAAGGGCUAACAUUGCAAUUAUAUGCAAUUUAACUUGAAUUUAACUUGUGAUUAUCAAAAUCCAUAAAAAUUAUACUAGCCAUAUUUUGGCAUACGUAUAGAAAUAAAUGAAUAAAUCAUCAUUAUAAUUUUGGAAAUAAAUGUUGGGGAUAUUAUGAAUAAAAGGAGAGAAAAUAAAUCAGUUUAGAUCCUUAAAAUUAUGGGAAAUUAUAAAAGCCUUGUUCAUGCUUAUAUAUGCAUGUGUAUGCUAUUUUGAAGGUAUUUAUGCAUAUUCAAAAUAUAUAGGAAAAAAUUGGGUAUCAAUGGCGAUAUACGCGGUCUUUAUAACAGGUUUACCUCGUUCUCAUUGUAAGUUCAAUUCCAUAUGGGUGAUAGUCCAUAAGCUCACAAAAUCAACUCAGUUCCUACCAGUCAGAUCUAGAUAUAAAACAAAAGAUUAUGUAAAGUUAUAUAUCAAGUGAAUCUUAGCAUAUGCUUUUAUCUAGAAACUGAUGGACAAGCCGAGCGCAUAAUUUAGAUUCUCAAAGAUAUGUUACGAGCGUGUGUGCUGGAUUUUAAAGAAGUUGGGAUAAAUAUCUAUCUCUUAACGAGUUUGCAUAUAAUAAUAGUUACCACUCCGGUAUCCAGAUGGCUCCAUACGAAGCUUUGUAGGGGCAUAAGUGUCGAUCUCCUAUAAGGUGGUUUGAUGGUGGAGAAUCUAGGUUAUAUGGGCAAGACUAGGUUGAACAAGCCAUAGGAAAAGUAAAGCUUAUCGGGGAGUAAAUGUAAACAGCUCAAAGUUGUCAAAAGUCAUCUUCGGACAUGCGACAAUGAGUUUUAGAGUUCGUGGUUAAUGAGUGGGUAUUCUUGAAGGUGUCGCCUAUGAAAGAUGUGAUGAGGUUUGGCAAGAAAGGCAAACUUAGCCCACGGUAUAUUGGGCUAGAUAUGAUCUUUUGGAAACUGGGCCCAGUACCAUAUGAGUUAGAAUUACCUUCAGAAUUGGAGUCCAUCCAUCUAGCUUUUCACGUAUCAAUGCUAUAGAAGUGCGUUGGUGAUCCUAUUCAAGUGGUGCCUACGAAAUAUGUAUAGAUUACAGAGGACUUGUCAUACGAGAAAAUUCCUGUUGCCAUCCAAUAAUGAAAAAUCCGCAAGCUUCGAAAUAAUGAAUAGCAUCUGUGAAGGUUUUACGGAGAAGCAAGCAGGUGGAAGAGAUAACGUGGGAAGAAGAGGAAGAAAUGAAGUCCAAAUAUCCCCACUUAUUUCAAACUUAAGAUGUGGCUCGAGGUGGGACACCUCAGCAAAACUCUAUCUAGGCCAUUAGGUGUCGCGCCGCCUUUUUCCUCAUAGAGUCUGGGUUUUAAAAUUCUUUGGGACAACUCAUUUCUUUUUGGGAAUUAGGCAUGAAAUUUGAAGAGUCGAUUCCUAACGGAUAUAAGGUGCAUUAGGUCACCUAAAGAAAAUAACUCAUAAACCGGUUUGCAUCAUAUGAGAUUGGAUAAGGGCUCAAAAUAUACUUGAGGGGAAGGUGUAGGCACCCCUCGAGGUCCACAAUGGUGGGUCCCUACCAAACUUUAUUGAAGUGAAUUAGUCACAUAAGCAAACAAAGCAAUUUAAACAAAUAGAGAUUAUUCAAAAGGGAAUAAAGGGAGUCCUAGGUUUAAGAUCACUUAUGUGCAAUACUCAGUAGACUUUCCUCAAAUAGCGGUGUUAUGCUUAGCAUUAGCACAUAUGUCAUCAUAUCUUUUACUACCUAAUUAUCCUCCCCUUAAUUAAUUUUACCUAAGAUUUCAAAUAGAAUCCAGUAUAUUACUUAUGCGUGCAUUACUGGUCCCAUGCAUGUGGCCAUUAGGACCUCUAUUUAAGAAAGUUCUUGACUCACCUAUGUUGUCUAAAAAGGAGAAAACUAAGAGACAAAUAAAAGUCAAAUGGGACUAUCACAUAAAGAUGCAAGUAAAGGCUCAUAUUUAUCUCCACAAAUAGACAAACAAUUGGUUGCCUCAAACAAACAGUUUUAAAAAUUUAAGAGUCCUAUAUGAAGGAUAUCUCAAUAAGCAUAAAUAGAGUAGACAGUAAUUAUUAGGUGAAACAAUAAAUACCUAAUCAAUUUUCCUACUGAUUUUGUUACUUCCUGCACCUUGGGCAGUUUUUAAGCAGUCAAACAAACAUAGUUUUUAUCAACUUCAUGAUUUUAGUUAUCCUACAUGCUUGCCUAAGUGAUAUCUUGGUAGAAUCUUAUAGAAUAUAAAUAUUUAUCGGAACAUGAUUAUGGACCAGUGGUUAAAGUAGUUGGGAUUUUAUCUUUUAGACCCUAUAGACAUAUCUAAGUGUAGAAGAGCUGCUCUUAAGACCUUAUAGGCAUGGUAUCUAAAAUACUGAAAUGAUUUUGAAAAUUCCUAUUAAAUUGAUAUCUAAAUGCAUAAGUAGUUCCAAAAUUUUCUAUAGACGUGGUAUCUAAUUGUAGAAAUGAUUCUCAAAUUUCCUCUACGUAGUAUCUAUUUUUGAAACUUCCGAUAAACAUGAUAUCUAAAUGCAGAAGUAACAUAAAACUUUAUUGCCGUGAUUUAAAAAAAAAAGAACUUAUUUUGAAACUUUGCAGACAUGUAUUUAAAUGUAGAAAAUUCAUUUGACAACCUUAUGGACAUGGAAUCUAAAAUUAUUAACGUGAAUCUUGAAAGGAUAUUCAGAACUAUUUUUAUCCUAUGGGCAUACCAUCUAAAAGUGGAUCAGAACAUGUAGAACAAAUCAAAUCCAAUAGAAAUGUUAUCUACCGCGCAUAAUAACGGAAUGUAUUGAACAAAUACAUAUAGGAAUAUUAUCUAAUGCAUGCAGUAAUAGAACAUAAUUGAACUAGUAAAUAUCCUGCAGGAAUAAUAUCUACCAUAUAGUUGAAAACAUUUUAAACAAAACCAACACUUAAAGUAGAAUUUCUAACCUGUUCUCAUGCAAGCAUUAAACUAGAUCCAUUUUCCCCAUUUCAGUAUUGCCCAUUAUUAUUACAAAUUUUUUUUUACAGACCAUAAACAAAUGAAUAAAUUAUAAAGUGUGUCAUCAUAGGAAGCCUACAGCAGUCCAAAUGAAUCUCGAUAACCCAGUCCUACAAACCAUAACAACUCCAAAGCUCAAAGACACACAGUAACCAUUUGAAAAGUACCAAGUACCCGAAUCUCUAGUGUGUUAGAGUUCCCAACAGCUUCAAGAACCGAGGGUAGUGCUCACACUGGAGAACAACUAUUCUAAAGGAGUUCAUAAAUGAUUAGAAACCCGCCAUAAUGUGUCAGAGUUCAGAGGAGUCUCAUGGACCAUAUGUUGUGCUCACAUUGGGGUUGGCAGGACCCUAGUUAACUAAGAGUAGGAGUUAAAAAUAAUGUAUGAACAUAAAAGACAGUUUUUGUUUUAGAAAAGUAUUUUGGAUUUAAGAAGUGCAUUAAAGUAGAUGAACAUAUUACUAGCACCACAAGCAGCACACAUAUAGCAAAAAAUGUUCAGCCAUGAACUCCAACAAUCGCAACAGAGAAAAUAGAGUAACAAUUAGUUUGAACAAGGUUUCACAUAGCCUUGAUCAAUUAGUUAUUACUAGGUGAACAUAUAGGCAUAUAUUAACCAGAGAACUCAUUAUGGGAUCCAAUUGCAGAUCAAACAAUCAUAUAGAAAUGUGGCAAAGUUCAAAGUAUAGAAAUCACUAAUUAAUCUAGACUUUGGAAAGGGGUGAACACUUAAAAUAGGACAGAAAUCAUGCUACUUGUGAAACAAAUAGACAUACAUCUAAUAGAAAAUGCUAAAAACAAGAAGCACAUGGGUCUAAUUUCAUUGAAGUAGGCAUGCUAGUUAAGAGUAAUAAACAUAUAGCACAUAAGUCGAAUUACAUAGAAGUAGAUAUGUUGGUUAAGAUCAAUAAGCAUGUAGCACAUAGGUUUAGUUACAACAUAUUAAAUGAUGGCAGAAGUGGAGACAUACCAGCUAAGAAAUAGCAAAUAGGAAGUUGAAAUUUAUGAAGGAUCCAAUAGUCUAUCCUUGUCUUUCAGCUAGCUAGACAAUGUAGCAAACAUAAGUAACUGAAAGGUUUGAAUGAGCGCAAGAGCUUUUGUGUGUGUGUGUUUCUUUCUGAGUAUCGCUUAAGACUUUCUCGAAUAGAGAGGUUACAUGUAGCAUUGGAGCGCAGAUCAUCAUAUCUUUUACUACCCAAUUCGCCUCCCUUUGGUCAAAGCGUAAAGCGUUCUUGCAACCUUAAGAUGUGUCUUAUGCAUGUUCCACAAUAGAAUAAUCCUAUAUUUUCAUCUUCUUCGGAAACACUUCUGCUUCCUUUUCACUAACAGUUUUCUUCACCAUUACUAGUUAUCAGUUGGUCGAUUUGAGUUUUCUCACCUCCUCGGGGGCAAAGCACCUCCCCGAUCGUGUCAAUCCAUGGGUCCCACAAAAUUCUUCUCUAACCUCUUUCCCUUUGUAAGUCACAGUUACUCAGUCGUAAUUCCAAGGUAUGUCUUCGCUGCUAAUCAUUGGUAGCUAAGUUAUGGGUUUGAUAAUGACAGGCUCUGUGAGAGCACCUUCCACGACAACCACAUGCUUUCUUUCCACCACUGGUACAACCACUUCCGCGUUUUCUUGUCUCACAAUCCCAUCUCUCGGGGAUUCCUUCUUGACUACAAAGAAAGGCUCAGUGCUUGCUACACUCAACUUAAGUGUCGACAUCUCACUUGUUAAAUUCUCAACCGUGUUCCGCUCACUGGCUCGGAUUAUCAUGGCAGUUUCCGAAGGCCUUUUGGGCUUUCCUCUUUGUGCACUAUCUCAAUCAUAUUUGUCCCUUGAUUAGCCGGUAGCGGCUUUUGAUUAAUAUUGGGUGCUUUCGGAUCUUGCACCUCAAUCCGAUAUGAAUUAAUGAGUUCUUGAAUAGCACUCGUAACAUUCCAACAUUUCUCUGUGUCAUGCCCCUGUGCACCAGACUUGGUUGGCCCGGAAAUCUUGUAUCAGGGGGUGUUGGUAGGCUCUUGGAGGUGGAUAGUUAUUUUUUGAAGCUGGUUAAUUAUUUUGUGAAGAUGGAUAAUUAUUUUGUGGGGUUGGCGCACGCCAUUGUGCGUGGGUGGGAGGUUGAGUAUAUGUUUUUGCAUGGUGGACGAAAAAACGGGGGUCAAGAGGUAGGUAGUAGUGCUGUGCUAGGCUAUAUGAAGUGUGUGAAUAGGAUAGAAAAUGAAAUCAGGGUUGGUUGUAAUUGGAUGGACCCUGGGGCUCGAACCAAGUCCCUGAAUCAAUUGUUUAUACUACCUCCUCCUUCUUCUUCUUUUUGAUUGCUCCCCCGGGUCGCGCUUUCGAUAGCCUGGGUGGUUGCUUUGAUUACUGAAUAACUUAUAAUCUUGUUAGAUAUGAGUCUCUCCUCUACCAUGCUCCCCAUUUUUAACACCUUAUUAAAGGAUUUACCCACUGCCGAUACCAUGUGACAAAAUAUGUAGUCUCCAAAGCUUGCAAGAAGUAGUCUACCAUUUUUCUUUCCUUCAUAGGUGGGUCUGCAUGCUCCCUCCAAUGAAAGCCAUACUAUAUGAAGCUCUCGUUGUGCUUAUUUACCAAUUUUGUCGAAGAAAAACGAUCCGGAAUAAUUUCAAGAUUGUACUGAAAAUGACUGGCGAAUGCUUGGGCUAGAUUGUCCCAUGUGUACCACCGAGCAUGAUCCUGUCGGGUGUACCAUUCCAAUGCUGAACAACUUAAACUUUGACUAAAGUAUGCCAUCAAUAAUUUAUCCUUCCCGCCUGCCCCUCUCAUCUUGCUGUAGAAACCCCUUAGGUGUGCCACCAGAUAACCAUGCCCGUCGUAUAAGUCAAACUUGGGCAUCUUAAAGCCUGGCGGCAAUUGUACAUCUGGGAUCAAACAGAGGUCUUUGAAUGCCACACUCUCUGACCUCCCGACCCUCACAUAUCUCUAAAUGAUUGCUCUGGACUUUUGACUUUCCUGAGCACCUCCUCUUGCUCGAGAUUUUUGGCUGGUUUUUCAGCCACUACGGGAAUUUCAAAAUGGGGAACAUAUGAGUGGGGUUCGGGGGCUUUGAAAGUAGGUUCUGGUGGGUAAUACUAGUUAUCAUGAGCUUGGAACAAAGGUUCCCUAGAUGAUAUGUGGAGUGUGGAGGGAGAAGGUGCCAUAAAGAUAGGAGCGACUGCUGGAGUAGGGUAGGGAACAUCUUUGGGUGGUAGAGCUGGGGUUAUCUGUGAAGUUGUACCCUGGUAUUGUUGGUAGAUGGGGAUGCUUCGGGGUAGAUCAAUGGCAGGGUGGUCAUGUGACUAGGCCAGUGGUGGCAUGAAGGAUGGAUUAGCAGGAUAAGCUGGUGGUGGCUGCCCUCUUACCCAUGUGUGAUACAUUUCAAUCAUCUGAUGCUUCAGUUUGUACAUCUCUUCUUUCAUUGCGUUGACAUACAGCACUUUCACUUGUUUUAAGGAUUAAUGAUACUUGCAUCGGGUUCUUGAUUGGCCAUAGUCAGCUUGCUUUUGGACUGAGUGUUAUAGGGGUGGGUUGCCAGAAUGUCGCAAAACUAACCACAUGUCUCAAUAUGGAAAAGCAAUACUGAAACUUGUUAGCGGUUAGGCUUUAACAUAUAGGCAGCCACAUAUUCGGGGAUGAAUGCACCUAAGCAUUUACCGGUUCCUAUUAUGCACAUGGGUUGGCUGUUUGCGUCGUCCUGACUUUUAUCCUAUGCCACUUUCCUUUUCUCUCUUGUUUUCUUUUUGUUCUUCCCCUUUCUUUUGCUCAACUUAUUUUUGCCUACCUUCUCUUGUUUUAUUAUUCUAUCCCUUACUUUAUGUUGUUUCUCUCAUGAUUUUCUUUUCUUUUCUCCUUUUUCUUAUUCUAGUUGUGGUCGAAUCCUAAGAAAUUGCGUACGUAUCAAGACCCCGCAUGAAUCAGACCGAGCGUAGUUCUGGUAGAUAUGUACAGAAAUAUUUUGGAAAUUUUAAUUUUCAUAAAGUAAAACACUUGAUUACAACUACUAACAGACAUUAAGAAAAGAAAUCAAUAGACUCCGACUCACAAAAAUGGAAACAACUGACUUGACAGGCCACUACAGACUCAAAUGGAAGAAAAUACAGACUUCGCAAAUGGACUAACAGACUUGAGUGAAAAUCAUGAAUACAUUAAGGCCUCUAAUGCUCCUGGGGCCUGCGGGACAUCAUUCUGUCUCGUCACAGUCCUGCGUGCUAAAUCCCCUUAGAGGUGGUGGAGGUCCUCCAUCACUUGAUGAACGAAGGUCAUUGUAGUGGCAAAAAACAUGGAUCUUGUAAUAUCUUCAUAGUGGCUAUACUUUACGGUGAUGUAAUCAGCGAUCAUCUGUACCCUCUCUCCUAUAGCACCCUUUUCUUGCAACAAUUACCCAAUCUGAUGGGCCCUGCACUCAAAAGUUUGUUCGGCUACACGAUUCAUUUCUUGAAAUUGUUGUGUAUCUCUCUCCAGCCGUGCUAUUGUUGUGUAACAAUGAUCUCUUUUAGCCCUGAAGUCUUUUGCUUGCUUAAGCAUUUUGUUUUCAACCAUGAUGACCUCGUUGUCAUACCUUUCUUUCAGUUGUUCGAUCAUGCGUGCUCGUUCCUCUGCAUUUUUGGCAAUUGUUUUCGUGCCCUGGUUAGCUCAUCGUCUGCUUUGUUCAAGUAAAAACCAUAUCUCCUACUUUCCGCCUUAGAUUGUCUAUGAGUUUUUCGUCCUUCACACUUCUGUUGGGAUUCUCUAAGGCUAUUUUCAUUUAUGAAUAUCGGCUUGCAAAGCUUCAUUUUCUUUAGCUAGUAUUUUCUUUUCCCCCUCGUCUAUCGCAGCUUGUAAACCAUUCUUGAAUUGAAGGUCUUUGACUUGUUUUUCUAACUUUCCCAUUAUGGCCCAAUAUUUUUUUUCCUUGGCCAACAAAUUCCAUUGUUGUUGUGACGCCUCAGCAAAUUCUUGAAAAUGUGGUCUUUUGUCCGGUCUUCCAAACUCCACUUCCCUUUUAUACCAAGCCGUGUACCCUAGUGAAACCUCGCCUUUAGACAACUCUCGUACUCGAGUGUUCGCUAUCAAGUACUAACACUCGCUCCAAAUCUAGCAGACUGCUGCUUUGAGAAACUGACUAUUACGACCAAUCUCAACCACAUGGAAACUAAUUUCUUCAUCCCUGGGAACCAUUUGGCAUCUCCCUAAUUGUCUUAGCACCUGGUACGGAGCAUAAGGUUGGAUGAUCCUAAUACCCAUCCAAAGGAAAUGAGGCCCAGUAGCUGGCAUAUAUAUUAUUUCCUCAAUGAGGAGCCACACAAACGUCCACCCUAUUUGGCGUGCACUUAUGGUACGGAGAUAUGAUACACAUUCUGUGAACCCCUCUCGUAAUCUGAACCCAUCAACUCUAGUAUAUAAUUUUUCUAUGCAACACUAUUUUGAUGACCCAUAACUCAUGAACUGAGGUCGAUGGCACAGGUGUUCAACAAUCCACAUCUGUAGCAACAAGUUGCAUCCUUCAAAGAGAUCUACUCCAGCUUUACAGGCUGUGAGGGCACUGAAGAUUUCAGAUAAUAUCAUGGGUGCGGGGGUGCUCUUCGCCUGAGUGAGCAAGGUGUUGACAACUCCUGCUAUCCGUAUAUCAAUAUUCCUAUCUUUCUGUGGAAACAUCAAGAGGCUCAAGAAGAAAACCAUAAAUGCGAAACGCAUGUGUUCUUCCUAUUAUAGUCGGUUUCCCUUACUACAUAUUUAUUUUUCGGGUCAUUAAGCACCUGUAUGGUCCCAUACCUCUUGUAUAUAAACUGUGGAGUACGAAAAUCAGCAGACAGAUCUGGAUUGUGAACCCCCUGCUUUUCUUUAGGGAAUCCAAGAAUUUGUUUACAGAGAGGGCCCUUGGCACAAUCAAAUACUGGUGUCUUAGAGGAAUUUUGGGGCCCCAGAUAUAUCCGUCUAUUUUUUCCAGGAUUGGAGUGAGCAUAAUGUCUGGGAAAUAAAAUAAGUUGUGGGUCGGGUCCUAGAAUGUAUCCAACGCCUUUAUGAUUUCCUCACCAGGAUUAAUUUUCAACAACUCGCUGAGUCCUCCCAAAUACGCAGUGACCUUGUUUUGCGCUGAUUCACCUAGAUCAUUCCACCAUAUAUGCAGCUCCAAAGGUAUCUUGUUCAUGACUAUUAUUGGAAAAUUUUGAUUCGUGCUCAUUCUGUACAUUUAUUAGGGUGAAUAAGCAAAAUCAUGAUUCAUUUGACUUAAAACAAGGUUGAUAUCGUUUGUCAAAUUUUCAUUUCAAGAGUACGAGUCCGGCUUUGCAAAUACGAGCUUUCAUCACUUCCCAGAGAAGAAUUUAUGGCUAUGCUUGCUACUGACCAAAAUUCAAAAAAUAAUCCAGGGCGGUUGUUCUUGCAAAAGAGGCCUUCUGGCGCCCUUUUGGGGACACUCAGCUAAUUUUGACAAGAACUACCUUAUUUAUUUAUCACAAACAAAAUUUGGUUCUUUGAGGCUAUUUUGCAAAAAUGAAAUUGGGACCGGUGUGGGUUACCUACGUAUCUCACGCCCUGUGAAAAUCAGACCGGCAUAGUUCGGGCAAUUCUGACAUAUUAAAAACUAGCUUGCUUUUUUCUUUUUCUUUUUUUUUGUUUUUCUUCUCUUUUUUGAAAACAAAACCCUUUUCUUUGAUAUUUUCAAAAUUUCGGCAGAAUUUCAGUAUUGAUAUUUGAAAUAGGUAAAUUCCUUCCUUAUCCCUCACACUGUUGUUUCUUUUUUGUCAAAUUCUCCUCUCCUUUUUGUUUCAAAAGCCGGUCAGCAUGCAAAUUCAGAAUAUAUGCACAAGUAGCACGUAAGAUUCAUCAAGAUGGUCUCUUAUUUUGGCUGCACCAGCCCUAGAUGGACCCAGUCCCUAUGUUGAGUCCCCUACGCCAAAUUCAUGAUGCAAAUAAGUGUUCCUACUAGGGAUCCGGCAUGAGGUUAAGUUAUUCUAGGUUAAAAACCUGGGUAUAUGUUCUAGACUGUGUACUCGAGCGGACAACACAAGUCGAGGAGGGGGAUACGUACCGGGAAAGAAAAGGCCAUCCAGCUUUGCAACUCGUCCGUGCCUCUUUCUUACUCCAAGGUUUGACACUAACAGAAUAGAGAGUCUCGACCAGCGAGUACAUCCCCGAAGAUGAGAAGAGAGGGUUUUCCGGCAUUUUAUAUAUAAUUCAAAUAAUAUCAAAGCGGUAAAAGCAACACUUAGUACAUUGGAAUCAAUUAUAUAACAACAACAACAACAACAACAACUACCCAGUAUACUCCCACCAGGUGGGGUCUGGGGANNNNNNNNNNNNNNNNNNNNNNNNNNNNNNNNNNNNNNNNNNNNNNNNNNNNNNNNNNNNNNNNNNNNNNNNNNNNNNNNNNNNNNNNNNNNNNNNNNNNNNNNNNNNNNNNNNNNNNNNNNNNNNNNNNNNNNNNNNNNNNNNNNNNNNNNNNNNNNNNNNNNNNNNNNNNNNNNNNNNNNNNNNNNNNNNNNNNNNNNNNNNNNNNNNNNNNNNNNNNNNNNNNNNNNNNNNNNNNNNNNNNNNNNNNNNNNNNNNNNNNNNNNNNNNNNNNNNNNNNNNNNNNNNNNNNNNNNNNNNNNNNNNNNNNNNNNNNNNNNNNNNNNNNNNNNNNNNNNNNNNNNNNNNNNNNNNNNNNNNNNNNNNNNNNNNNNNNNNNNNNNNNNNNNNNNNNNNNNNNNNNNNNNNNNNNNNNNNNNNNNNNNNNNNNNNNNNNNNNNNNNNNNNNNNNNNNNNNNNNNNNNNNNNNNNNNNNNNNNNNNNNNNNNNNNNNNNNNNNNNNNNNNNNNNNNNNNNNNNNNNNNNNNNNNNNNNNNNNNNNNNNNNNNNNNNNNNNNNNNNNNNNNNNNNNNNNNNNNNNNNNNNNNNNNNNNNNNNNNNNNNNNNNNNNNNNNNNNNNNNNNNNNNNNNNNNNNNNNNNNNNNNNNNNNNNNNNNNNNNNNNNNNNNNNNNNNNNNNNNNNNNNNNNNNNNNNNNNNNNNNNNNNNNNNNNNNNNNNNNNNNNNNNNNNNNNNNNNNNNNNNNNNNNNNNNNNNNNNNNNNNNNNNNNNNNNNNNNNNNNNNNNNNNNNNNNNNNNNNNNNNNNNNNNNNNNNNNNNNNNNNNNNNNNNNNNNNNNNNNNNNNNNNNNNNNNNNNNNNNNNNNNNNNNNNNNNNNNNNNNNNNNNNNNNNNNNNNNNNCUGCAUUUUAGUCAUGUCCUGCCUAAUCACCUCUCCCCAAUGCUUCUUAGGCCUCCCUCUACCCCGCCGACCACCAACAAUCUCCAGCCGCUCGCAGCUCAUAUAAUAAAAUCAUAUACCAAACAAAGCCAAUAAAAAAAUUAUUCUAAGCUCAAAUUCUGAACCCUGAAACAGAGAUUCCCGGUUCGAUUCCCAGCAGAGUUGCAAGAGUUGUGACACCUCAUUUUUUACAGUACACCCUGCGAAGGGCGUAGAUAAGGGAGUUUUCCCAAUUAAAGGAAAAUUGAAACAUGAUUUUUUUAUCUAAAUAUUUCAGUGUCACCACCUAGAAUAUUUUAUGGUAUCCGAAGUCACUGGUUCAGAAUCCCGAAUUGAAGAAGGUUUGACUUUGUAAUACAUUCUACGAGCCAAAAAUCCAGGUAAGGAAUAUUGUUAACCCGGGAGAAGGUGUUAGGCAUUCCUAAAUUUUAUGGUUCUAGCACAGUCGCUCAAAUGUUAUAUUCGGCUUAAUCAUCUGAUUUUUUUACUAUUAUGAGCAAUGUGCGAAUUUUAUCUUUUUAACCGCUUUUAUUUAAUUGAUUAAAAGAGGAUUGCAGCGCUAUUAAACCAUGUCUCGAAUCGCGUCACAUAAAUGCACCCGCAGUCUUCAACAUAUUUUAACAUUGUCCAGAUUUGGAUUUGGGUCACAUAAAUGCAUACCCCAGUUUAAGGAAAUGUCUUAUUAAAAUAAUGCGCCUAAAAUGACUAUGUGUUCGCAAUCUGCGAGGGCUAUAGAAAUUUAGCUAAAUAGCACGCCUCGAAUUCUAAAGAUCAAUACGAUAUUAACUAAAAUAAGGGCCAUGCAAUUGGGAUUUUAUUUUCAUGGGCCCCUCAAUUCUAUUUUUUUUAGGUUAUUCAAGCUAAAAUUUGGAGGCCGUAACUAUAUUUAUUUGAUGAAACUCACCUUAAUUACCCAAAGGCAACUGAUUGAUCCAUACAUCAGAAGCUGGUACUCCACUGUAUCAAAUUAACACAAAAGUCUUGCCUUUUUACAAAAGGGGACAUGAGCUAAUUACUAAGAGAUGAACGUCGGCCUAGCGUGAGGCCCACCUACCUGCAAAACUUAAGCUGAAUCCAAAUAAGUUUGACAGUCCACAUCGGGCCUAGAAGGAAGCCCAAAUCAAAACAAUGGACAAUUUUGGAGUUCACCUUUGGCUUUUUAUCAUAUAUACUAUCAGACCUCUAGCAACCAUUCCAUAAUUUAUACUUCAAAGAAAAGUUAUAUAGCAUAGUCUAAAAAACAUUGAAAUAAAGCACAGAGUUUAAAUAAGGUAUCACACAGCUGGGAUUUUACAAGCGAAUACCGUUUCCAAAUGUCUUUACAAGUCCUCCUUAUACACAACGAACAAAUAACAGAACUGAAUCAAUUAGUCCAUAAAACCCAGGUAAGGAAAGCCUAAUAUUCUAAAAGUAAUACAGAAGAGUCAAAAAGACUGAUGCUACAUUUCAUACCCCUGCUUUCAUUUCCAAACCUUCAUAUCCAACUUCUUCUAAUAUCAAAUUCAAUAAUGUUACUAUAUGGCAUACAGUUACGUUAAUAAUUCUCAUGCUCAAUGAAUGCUAAGAAGCUAAGUAUUAUAACCAAAAAUGUAUUCCUGCUAAAUUAUCAAUUUUGCACCUAUGGCAAUAGGAACACCUGUGAGGCUUCAAUGAUCAAAAAAACUCAUUCAACUUACAUAAGCUAUGAUUAAAUCUCUCUAAUUGGAUCUAUGUGUUUCACACAUUAGAGGCAACACUUUCAUUUAGAAUGGCAAGCUGGGAUUCAUAUAGAGAAGAGGAUUUGCACAUCAAGCUCAUAAACAUCACACAUGACAUAUAUGCCAAAUUUCCAACUCUCAUCUUUUAUUUCAACUCAACUGGAAGAUCAAAUUGUGCAGCAUUUAAAACAUGUACCUGAAAAUUGAAAUUGAAAGAAUAAAUGAGGGUUAGGGGUCAGCAACAGCAGCAAUAAUAAAUCAGCAAAAAUCAGUAAGGCUAAACAUCAAACCCAUAACUGAUAUGUAGCAACCCGAAGGAACAAAUUCCACCCGAACAAAACCCAAUAGACUCAGAAUCAGACUUUUAAACUAAUUAUUCAAUCAUUCUUUGGAUUCCACAAUGAAGAACUAUGGUUUUCAGGCUCUAAAGGUAAUCAGAAUAUCAAUCAUAUUCAAUGAAAUAGUGUUUUUAUUUUUUAUUUGUUUUAGGACUUCUCUUAAUUUUUAGCCCUCUAAUUCUUGCCAUAAAAAGCAAGAAUGAUAUGCUUUUAUAGACAGGGCCUACGGAAACUUUCAGAUUUUGUUUUGCCCUCUUGGUCCCUAAUUUUUUUUGACUUGUCUACCAAGUUAUCGUGCAAAAAUUAAAAUCAAGACCCUACUAGAAGCUUCUAAAAAAGUUCUCAAAAGAUUCCCUCACUAGUUUACCUAAACUAACCCCAAUGACCCUGAAUCAAAUAGAUUCAAAGGUCAAUUUCGACCCAAUUGUUACCUUAAAGUCCAUCUUGGGCCAAGUUAACCCACGACUCAAUGAACGAGUUUCUUUAACUGGAUCAAACCAUUACGCAUGACCAAACAAAGAAGAUAAAAUUUAGAAAGUAAAAUAUGCAGUAUUUCCAAACUUUGCAAUUAAAAUUAACCUUAAUUACUAACUAAAUGGAUUCAAUUAUUAAGAAAACCAAAAAAAAGUGAAGCAAAUAAAAUAAAUGAGAAGCAGAAAUACCCGAUUAGAAGAGUCGUCAAUGCAAAAUUAAUGUUAAUGACAAACGAGUAUCAAUGAAAGAUGAUGACAAUACUUGCUUGGUAGGUGUUGACUUGGCCGGAAUCUGUUGGUCUUUGAAAUGGACCCAAAAUAACGCUAAUCGGCUGUUCUUAAUGAGAACAAUCGAUUGGCAUAACAUUUGGCUCAAAUCGAGUCUUGAAACCACUAGAAAUUAGAGGGACGAGGGGACUAGGGUUUUUCUUUUGGAAUUGACACGAAUGGAUGAGGGUUUUUGGAUAACUGGUGGUAACAACGAGAUGAGGAGGAUAUGGUGAUUGUUUGGUGUGAAUUUGAGGGUGAUUGGACGGUGGCGCCACCAAACACAAAGGAGGAAUCAAAGCUUUUGAGCAAGAUUCAAGAGGUUUAGGCAAUAUUCGAGGGAAACUCCGCGUGGAUUUGUGUGGAUUUGGAAAGAAGAGAAGGAUGGGAAGCUAUGGUGUUAUUUUGGUGGUCAUCGAAGACCCGCCGCCGCCAUGGAGCGAUUUUCGACGGUAGCAUGCGGCAGAUAUGCUGGAGCGUUCUCUAAAGAGAUGGGGUGUAAGAGACAAGUGAUAGGGGUGGAGGUGCAUUUGGACAAUUAUACACCUAAGGUUAACCACUUCACAACCGUUGGAUGAGGAAUCCUAGAUGGUUGACAUUAGUUUAACCCAAACGAUGUCGUUUGACAUUGUCUAGAGGUAGACCGGGUUCAAGGCGAGUCUGAGUUGGUUUGGGGUUAGAAUUGGGCGGAUUUUGAGGCAAAUUAUUUGGCUUGGGUACGAGGAAUAAGGAUUGUCCCAAAUGUGCUUUGUUUUCUUCUUUAUUUUCUAAUCAUUAAAGUCUUUCAUUUUUCUUUUCUUUUCUUCUUUUUUUCAAAAUUAAAUUAUGAAAACCAAAUUAACCUAUAUAAAUAUUAAUUAAUCCUAAAUAAUAAUUAUUACAAAUAAUUAAAACAAAUUGAUAGAAAAGUCACCUAAAAGCAAAGUUAAAAUUAAAGGUUCAAAUUAAACCAUUUUUAAUAUCCUUUUUUAUAAAAUGACUAACUGCUAAUUAAUUAAUUUAAAAUAUCAAAUUAACUUCUAAAUUCACAUGCAACACAUUUGUUUUUGUAUUUUUCAAUAAUUAAUAUGUACAAAAAAAUGCAAACGAUUAAUAGAAAAUGUAACGAAAGUCCACGAGAUUGCAAAAGUUGAAAGAAAUUAUUUUUUUUGAAUUUAUGUGUUCUAAUUCAUAUAGGAAAGAAAUCACGUGCCCACACAAAUUAUUAGAGUUAAUGCUUGGCACAGUUGAAAGUCAUCCUUGGGACUUUCUCUGAUUAAGUCUCGAUAGUGAACACAUUCUCUGACUUGCAUAUCUUUUUUUUGAAAUGGUACAAUGUUGGCUUACCAGGUUUGGUACUCAACCACUCUGAGGACUUGGCUUUGAUCUGCUUAGUAACUUCCCUCUAUGUUAAGUCUCAUAUCAGGUUAGAAUUUCCUUAAUUUUUUCUUCACUGGCGGACAUAUAGGAUUGGUAGGCAACUUGUAAGGCACUAUCGAUGUAAUCAAAAAAGACAUGUCAUCAUAUGAGCAUGCAUAGAUAUCCUCAUAAACCUUUAGUAAACGAAUGCACUCCUCUCUCUAUCUAUAUAUUUGUGAUAAGUGAAUGCUGAUGUGAGUCUUCUAGACAGUUUCGGCGUCUCCCAAAUUUACCACUUCAGUUUUGUCCAGGUUGGAGUUAGGCUUAUUUCAAGGUUCUCAACCUCUCUGACAAUCUCCUUAGGUAUUUAUUAUCCUUUAUCUGAGUCAAUAUCCUUAUAUUGUGUUGCCUCAUUACAUGUCACAACCACCAGUUCAUCAGUGUAACAUUGUAGAAAGAAAAGUGUGAAAAGUAAUAAACGAAUAAUUAAUAUCUAUGAUUCAGACUAAAAUCAUCCAAAACAAGUACGGCUGAAUGAAUCGAGAAAUUAUUUUGAAACAGGUGAGUCUUUUAAACAACAUUACUGGAUAUUUCUUAGAUGCCUAGCAUGGCCAUAGAAAUAAGAAUAAGAGAUGCAACAUCACAUCAAUAGUUCCACAAGAGGGUAAACAAUGUAAGCACAGUUAGCUUCUAAGAGUAGAGUAUCUCUGGAAUCUCAUUCAUUACAUUAUGUACAAUCGGAGUCUUGCAAAAGAAAGAAAGGGAUAGCCUCACAUACCUUGUAUAUACUGCCCCAAUCUCAAGCUAUGCAGUUAUCACAACUAGUCUACAAUAAGAGAAACUAUACUGUGGUUAUCAUUUAAGCGACAUUACUAUUAUGUAUCAAUCACAACCUAUUUUACGAUGAAACGGACAUCAACUACUCUAUAUAUAUGAAUUCAAACCAUUCAAAACAAUCACCAAACAGCUUAAACAACAUCAAUAGUAAUCACACUGAUCCUCCCGAAACAGUCCACACACAAUUUAAUUACUUCAUACGUACGAUGACCACCGUAGUCGUGUCAAAUGCCUAGAAAAUGUUAUGCAGAACUAUCAUCCCAUAAGCCUAAAUAUAAAUGGUGUUUAUCAACAACCUUCAACCUCCAAAACUCCACAAAAUAGUAGUAAAACACGCAGCCCAACAGAAAGACGAAACAGUCCACAAAACAAUUCUGCUACAAGUGAAUAACUGGAACUCACGGCUUACGAUCACCAUCCCGUAAGUUCUUUCAUGUAUAGAACGAAUUACCAUGAGUUCACAGCAGAAGAAAUGUAUUAAAUAGUUCAGUAAACUUACCUUACUCAUUGGAUAACUAAGCCCUUCCCUUGCUUCUUCAAGCUCCUGAUUUUACCCUCAAUUAGAACUUGAAAGAGAGGGAAAAUCGAUUAGGGUUUGUGUGGGAUUUUUUGGAGGAGGUUUGCAGAGGUUUUAGUCUGAGUAUUUGUGAGAUAUAUUGAGGGUUAUAUUUCAGAAGAUAACCCUUUAAAUGGGCUGAAUAUACGACCCGAAAGUUCCCUUUUUUGGGGUAUCAUUUUAACAAGUAGGUGACACACCUACUUGUCACCUAGCAGCUUGCACAGUCUCACAAAAACUAUAUCUCUCUACUCCGAUGUCGUAGGGAUAAACACUUUAAUGCGUUAGAAACUAGACUCAUAGAUCUUUAAUUUGGGCAUAGAUCACCCCAUAAUUCCAUGGAAACUGGGAGAAAAGUUUAGAAAAAUUUGACCUAAUGUUUAAGUAAAAUUUUGAACCUAAGUUGUGACAACUUUUGUCGACUUUUGUUUCAUAACACGUUUGACUUCAAGACUAUGAAACGGAUAUUAUAUGAUUCAAAUGCCCUAUUACAUGAACUCUUUAUUGUAUUAAGAACCUAUAGGUUUACCCAAAAAUACAUUGACAUCAAGACUGAUACCAUACGAUUCAAAUACAUUAAAACAUGACCUAUUGAGUGUAUUAAGCACCUAUAGGUUUACCCAUAAAUACAAGUUACAACAUCCUUGAUUCGUUUAACUUCUAAUACUUGUUAAUCGCCCUUAUACACCCUUGUAUCACUUAGAUCAAUAUGAUUAACUUCUUAUCAUCUCAAGGAUAAUUCCUUCUUGGAUUAAUGUUAACUAACACAUGGCAUGAACUAACGCAUGUGGGUAUGGGUUGUAAUACCCUUCCCCCCUUAGGAACAUUUGUCCUCGAAUGUAAGGGUUUAUGGGGAGUCCAAAUCAUCAUGGAUUCCAAUAGAAUAUGGUCACUAGCAAAAUCUGCAAGAAGUUAAGCCCAAUGUAUGCUCUCACAAGUUUACACAAAGCAUUAUGGAAAUGUACAUUAUUUGCAUAUUACCAUUUUGUAUUAAGGAAGAGUGUUUUCAAGUUAUUUUUUAGCUUAUAAAGUCGCUUCACCUUUACAAUGUAUCCUGCAUUCCACCAACAUUCUAUCAUCAUUCUGGAAUAGGUAAGGGUAUUUAGACUUUAUCUCUUCUUCCGCUUCCCAUUUCAUUUCUUCCAUAUUCUUGUUCCUCCAUAAUACUAUGACGGAAGCUACAUCUUUUGUUCUCAGCUUGCGGACUUGUCGAUCUAAUAUAGCCACUGGAAUUUCUUCAUAUGAUAAAUCCUCUUUAACUUGUACAUCUUUGUUAGGGACAACUCGAGAAGGGUCUCCAAUACAUUUUCUCAACAUAGAUACAUGGAAUAGUGGGUGGACAAUUUCAAAAUCGGUUGGCAAUUCAAACUCAUAAGCAACUUGUCAAAUUCGUUGAAGAAUUUUAUACAGACUGAUAUACCUUUGACUCACUUUACCUUUCUUUCCAAAAUGCAUAACACCUUUCAUUGGUGCGAUCCUCAAGAAAACCCAAUACCCAACCUCAAAUUCCAAAUCAUGACGUCAGAUAUCGGAAUAAGACUUUUGCCUACUUUGUGUCGUUCUCAAUCGUUCUUGUAUCGCCUUCACCUUCUCAAUGGCUUGGUGAAUCAAACAUGGCCCAUGCAAUUCUGUUUUACCGACUUCGAACCAUCCAACUGGUGAUCUACAUCUUCUUCCGUAUAGUGCCUCAUAUGAGGCCAUUUUAAUACUGGAAUUGUAGCUAUUAUUUUAGGCAAAUUAUAUGAGUGGAAGAUGGUCAUCCCAAUUCCCCUUAAAAUCUAAAACACAUGCUCGUAGGAUAUCUUCCAGUGUUUGAAUGGUACGUUCAGCAUGUCUGUCUGUCAGUGAAUGAAAUACAGUGCUGAGAUUCACUUGUGUUCCUAAACCCCUAUGAAAACACCUCCAAAAGUUAGCCAUAAACUGAUCUCCUCGGUUUGAUAUAAUAGAUACCGCCCAUGAAGCCUAACAAUUUCCUUGAUAUGAAACUUUGCACAAUCUUCAGCCGCGUAAGUUGGCUUAACUGGCAGAAAAUGGGCACAUUUUGUAAGUUGAUCAACUAUCACCCAGAUGGAAUCAAACUUAUGGUAAGAGCGAGGUAAUCCAAUAACGAAGUCUGUAUUAAUCACCUCCCAUUUCCAGGUUGGAAUCUCUAUAUUCUGAAGUAAUCCACCGGGUUUUCUAAUGUUCUAUCUUUGCUUGUUGACAAUUAGGACACUGGGCUACAAAUUUUGCAAUUGACUUCUUCAUGUUAUCCCACCAAUACUGCUCCUUGACAUCAUGAUACAUCUUUGUCGAGCCGGGAUGGAUGGAAUAUCGGGAUUGAUGAAUCUCAUUCAUAAUCGUUUCUCGCAAUCCUACCACAUUAGGCACACAUAAUCAGCACUGGUAUCUUAGUGCCCCAUCUCCUCCGAUCUUAAAAGCUGUAAUUUUACACUGCUUAAUGCUCUCUAUCAAUCAUACCAAGAUAGGAUCUUCAUAUUGCCGUGCUUUUACCUCGGCUAGCAAAGAUUAUUGUGAUGUAUUAUGUACAGUAAUACCUCUAUCAUCAGAGUCUAAUAAUCCGAUUCUCAUAUUGGCUAGCUGAUAAAGCUCUUUAGUCAGCCCCCAUCUACCUGCCUCAAUUUGUGCUAAGCUUCCCAUUGACUACGACUGAGAGCGUUUGCCAAAAUAUUGGCUUCGGGAUGAUACAAUAUCUCGACGUCAUAGUCUUUCAAAAAUUCAAGCCCCCUAUGCUGCCUCAAGUUCAACGCUUGAAGAUGUAUUGUAAACUCAUAUGAUCUGUAUCGAUGUCAACAUGGAUGUCGUAUAAGUAGUGGCGCCAUAUCUUCAAAUCAUAUAUUACUGCAGCCAAUUCCAAAUCAUGGGUGAGGUAAUUAUUUUCAUGCUUCUUCAAGUGUCUUGAUGUAUAAGCAAUCACCUUUCCAUGUUGCAUCAAUACAAAACCUAAACCUAUACCUGAGGCAUCACAAUAUACCACAUAUCCUUAUGUUCCUUCAGGGAGAGUGAGCGCUGGUACGGAUGUUAAUCGAUUCUUCAGCUCCUGAAAACUACUCUCACAAGUCUCAGACCACUGGAACUUGGUAGCUUUUUGUGUUAACUUAGUCAAUGGUGCUGAUUUGGAGGAAACCCUUCUACAAAUCACAUAUAAUAUCCUGCUAGCCCUAGGAAGCUGCAGACUUCUGAUGGUGUUGUAGGUCUCAGCCAAUUCUUUACUGCAUCGAUCUUCUUAGUGUCGACAUUGAUAGCCUCUCUCCUAUUAUAUCCUACUAGCCCUAGGAAGCUGCGGACUCCUGAUGGUGCUGUAGGUAUCGGCCAAUUUUUUACUGCAUCGAUCUUCUAAGUGUCGACACUGAUACCCUCGUCAGAUAUCACAUGGCCAAGAAAUGCUACUGAAUUCAGCCAGAAUUCACAUUUGGUGAGCUUAGCAUAUAACUUACAAUCCUGAAGCUCUUUAAUACUAUCUGCAAGUGGCCUGCAUGUUCCACCUAUGAACGAGAAUACACCAAAAUGUCAUCAAUGAAUACAAUCACGAACACAUCAAGAUAGGGCCUNNNNNNNNNNNNNNNNNNNNNNNNNNNNNNNNNNNNNNNNNNNNNNNNNNNNNNNNNNNNNNNNNNNNNNNNNNNNNNNNNNNNNNNNNNNNNNNNUCCACAAAUUAGACAUAGGGCCUGAAUACUGUAUUCAUGAGAUCCAUAAAAGCUGCUGGUGCAUCUUUAUCCUGAACGACAUCACCAAGAACUCAAAGUUCCCAUAUCUUGUCUGGAAGGCCGUCUUUGGAAUAUCCUUCCCCUUGACCCUCACCUGAUGAUAUCCUGAAUGUAAGUCAAUCUUGGAGAAAUACUUGGCACCCUGGAGUUGGUCAAACAAGUCAUCAAUUCUUGGAAGUGGAUACCGGUUCUUUAUAAUAAACUUAUUCAACUAUCGAUAGUUGAUACACGUCGUAACGACCCGUCUUUCUUCCGCACGAAUAGAACUAGCGCACCCCAAGCUGAAGUGUUAGGCCUAAUGAAGCCCUUAUCCAGCAAGUCCUUCAAGUGCGGCUUCAAAUCUCGCAACUCUGCCGGAGACAUUCUGUAUGGAGGGAUAGAGAUUGGUUGAGUGUCAGGCAACACAUCAAAGCUAAACUUAUUCUCCCUUUCAGGAGGAAGGCCUAGGAGUUCAUUUGGGAAAACAUCUUGAAAUUCACUGACCACGGGGAUUGAUUGUAGAGUAGGCGUCUUCGCCUCCAUAUCCCUAACGCGUACGAGAUGAUAAAUGUUACCUUUUGAGAUCAUUUUCCUUGCCUUAAGAUAGGAAAUAAACCUACCUUUCGGUGUAGCAAUGUUCCCCUUCCAUUCAAUGACAGGUUCACCAGGAAAUUGAAACCUAAUAAUUUUCGUACGGCAAUCACCAUUUGCAUAGCAUGAGGACAACCAGUCCAUCCCCAUUUUCACAUCGAAAUCAACCAUUUCUAACUCAAAUAAAUUUGCCGAGGUUUGACGAAUAAAAAUCAUCAUAAUGCAAUCGCUACAUACUAUUCUAGCAAUCACAUAAUCUCCUAUUGGAGUAGACACCGCAAGGUUUACUUAUCAAUUCAGGUUCAACGCCAAACUUAUUAGCCACAAAGGUUGUAACAUAUGAUAAUAUUGAUCCUGGAUCAAUCACCGUGUAUGCAUCAUAUGAAAACACACACAGUAUACCUGUAAUAAAUCUGGAGAUGACUCGAGAUCUUGUCGACCUACUAAAGCAUAGGUUCGACUUUAAGCACCACUUAGACUUGGCCCUACACCUUUACCUCUACCAUGAGAUGUCGGCUGCUGAAAACCCUGUGCUGGAGGUCGAACUGAUGAGGAAGAACCCAACGCAGAUCCUGUCGGCUGAUCCAUUACAUCACCUUCUCUGUUAGGUCAAUCAUACAUCGUGUGCCAAGGGUUUCCGCAAGAAUAACACACAUCAGAACAUCGACGGCACAGUCCAAAGUGAGCCUUACCGCACUUAUCACAACGUGGUGUUGGGGGUCUCGUCUAAGUCAUAUCCCUGUGAUGUUUUGAGCUUGAUGCCUGCAAACUCUGACCUAGACCAGAAUAGGAUUGAUCAUAUUGAGGCCUCUGAAACUGUGGAGGAGCACUAGCUACAGGUGGCGCCGAACUCUUCGAAGACUAGGGCCUGAAGCUGCCUCUAAAGUCAUCAGGAUACCUUGAAAAUCUCGCCCUUUUAUGUUGGCCCCUAUCCUGCUCCCUAUAUUCCCUUUUCUGGCACAUACAAUCCUCUAGGGUCUGGGCAUAAGCCUGAAUACGGGAAAUAUACAUGCCAUCACCAAGGAGGCUGUCGUACACUCAUUUAUCAUAUGUGGUCCCAACCCGUUCACAAACAUAUGCACCCUAUCACUCAUCUCGGCUACCAUAUAGGGAGCAUACCUUGAUAAAGAUCAAACUGCAUAAUGUACUCUUGCACACUCAUAUUACCUUGUCUAAGGUUCAAGAACUUAUCAGCUCUAGCUCGUCGUACCUCAACUAGAAAGUAGUGACGAAGAAAGGCCUCAUAAAAUUCUUUCCAAAUAGCUGGAGGAGCGUUCGGACCCCUCAAUCUCUCCCAUCUAUCAUACCAGAGAACCGCUAAAUCCCGUAGCCGAUAAGAAGCCAACUAUACUUCCUUUGUAUAACUAACAAGCAUAACCCGCAAUGUACGAUAAACCUGGUCAAUAAAAGUCUGUGGGGCCUCCUUGGGGUCUGAUUUGAUAAACACUGGACGGUCUAAAUUAAUAAAAUCAGGAGCUCUCAUACUAACUGGUUUAUCAUCAGCACCUAUAUUCUACCUCUAAGGUUGAGCAGCUACCAAGCUAGUCAAUAACUGCCAAGCACUCUGCAUAUCCUGAUCUGUAGUGCUAGACGAAGGAACUGGAGGUGUUAGAUUCCUCCUAAUAUCCUAUGGAGGAGACAAAGUAGAUGAGGUAUGAGACGACAUCUCACUCUCAGCUUCACCUUGGCCUACUCUGGCUUGGGGCACCUAGCUGGUACCCUCUCCCCUAAUUGUAUCAAGUCGUCUACUAAUUUUUUGCUUCCUAGUUUAAGGAAUUGCUAAAAGAAACAAGGUAAAUAUUAGAGACAAACACUUAUGACCCAACUCUACCCACAAUCUAGAUUUAGGAAGAAGGUAAAAACCCUAAAUGUCAUGUAGCCUCCUGAUUAUAAAUGUAGCGCGCUACACAUCCAUAAUCAAAUAUCUACUAGACACGGCUCAGAGACAACCCCUAGGGCAGACAUGCGCAGAUACCAAGUUUGUCACAACCCAAACUUGAGGGCCAUGACUAGCACCCGACCAUACUUGUCGUGCACCAUCAUACAUUUUACCUAAUCUUCUUUGUUAUCAGUUAGGGCCAACGAGAUCAAUAUAAAUGGUAUCCAUGGAUCACGGACAACCAACGAUAAAAGAUGAUGGCAUAAACAUACAUAACAUGGGGUGGCCAGGCAAUCAAGAAACUAUAUAUAAGGUACGAGCUAUCAUUAUACCAUGAGAGACUAUACAACAAAAACCAGUAGACAAGGCAUACCAAACUAUACAUGAGUCAACACCUAUUUAUGAGCCUCUAAAGGAACAUAAGUUCUGCAACAUUGCUGGAAUAGGGCCCCGACAUAACCAUAAUAUCUAUACUAAAAUGCAUACCAAGACCACGGCAAGUGCGGAGAAGGGAUAUCACCAAUCACCACUGAACUGGACAGCCUACUAUUGUGGGGAAGCUACACCUGCCUAUCUAUCAGGACCCGCAGCACGACAUGCAGCAUCCAGAAACAAAAGGACGUCACUAUGAAUAAAGUAUUGAGUAUGUAAGACAGGGAACAAUAAAUACGAACAAUAAUGUAGGCAGGGAUAGAGAAUAUACAACCUAUAACAUCUGAGUACCUAUAAGGGAUAAUGACAUGAAAUGCAUGAUACAUAUGUAUAAAUACAUAAACUCUAAAAACAUACGCCUCUGUGGGCAUCAUCACCAUAUCGUACCCAGCCGUAGUAGGCUCGGUAAAAACAUACCCGGCCAUCACAAGGCUCGGUAGAAUUGUACCCGGCCACGUGGAGCUUGGUAAAACCCAACUGAUAAGUGGUUCACAAUAGGUGUUGUACCUGGCCGACUAUAGCGCCGCUCGGUAGAGUAAAAUAGAUAAAUAUAUAUAAUGAAUGCUCGACUCAUGGAAACAUGUUCUAGACCUUACGGAGUAAUGUUAGAUCGGUGUCCUCUGUACAUGUUAUUAGGACUAACUUUUCACUAUAAAGCUUAUAAGAAUCAGGAAGUACCAACUACAUUGAAAGCAUAAGAAUAAAAGAAGCAACAUCACAUCAAUCAUUCCACAAUAGGGGAAACAAUGUAAGCACUGCUAUCUUGUAAGAGUACAGUAUCUUUAGAAGCUCAUUCAUUACAUUAUGUACAUUCAGAGUCGUGAAAAAGACGGAAAGGGAUAGCCUCACAUACCUUGUAUAUACUGCCCCAAUCUCAAGCAAUGCAAUUACCACAACUCCUUAGUCUACAAUAAGAGAAACGCUACUAGCAUUAUCAUUUAAGCGACAUAACUAUUAUGUAUCAAUCACAACCUAUUUUAUGAUGAAACGGGCAGCACCUCCCCUAUAUAUAUAUUUACACCAUUCAAAACAAUCACCAAACAACCUAAACAAUAUCAAUAAUAAUCACAUUGUGCGUUCCAAAAUAGUCCACGCACAAUCCAAUUACUUCAUACAUACGACGACCACGGUAGUCGUGUCAAACGAUCCGGAAAUGUUACGAAGAACUAUCAUCACACAACCCUAAAUAUAUAUGGUGUUUCUCCACACCCUUCCACCUCUAAAACUCCACAAAAUAAUAGUUAAACACGUAGCCUAACAGCAUAACAAAAUAGUCCACAAAAUAGUCCGCUGCCAGUGAAUAACUCGAACUCACGGCUUCCGAUCACCAUCCGGUGAGUUAUUACAUGUAUAUAACGAAUUACCAUGAUUUCACAGAAGAAAAAUGUAUAAAAUAGUGCAGUAAACUUAACUUACUCGUUGGAUAACAAAGCCCUUCCCUUGCUUCUUCAAACUCUUGAUUUUACCCUCAAUUAGAACUUGAAAGAGAGGGAAAAUCGAUUAGGGUUUAUGUGGGAUUUUUCGGAGGAGGUUUGCGGGGGUUUUGGUUUUAGUAUUUGAGAGAUAUAUUAAAGGUUAUAUUUCAGGAGAUAAACAUUUAAAUGGGCUCAAUAGCCGGCCCAAAAUUUCCCUUUUUUGGGAUAUCAUUUUAACAAGUAGGUGACGCACCUACUUGUCACCAAGUAGCUUGCGCUCUCUCACGAAAAUAGCUAUAUCUCUCUACUCCCAUGUCGUAUUGAUAAACGGUUCAAUGAUUGGAAACUAUACUCAUAGAUCUUUGAUAUUCUUCAUAGAUCACCACUUAAUUCCUAGUAAAUUGGGAGAAAAGCUUAGAAAAUUUUGACAUAAUGUUUAAGUAAAAUUUUGAACCUAAGUGGUGACAACUUUUGUCGACAGUUGUUUCAUAACUCGUUUGACUUCAAGACUAUGAAACGGAUACUAUAUGAUUCAAAUACAUUAAAACAUGACCUCUUGAGUGUAUUAAGCACCUAUAGGCUUACUCGAAAAUACGAGUUACAACAUCCUUGAUUUGUUUAACUUCUAAUACUUGUUAAUCACCCUUAUACACCCUUAUAUCACUUAAGAUCAAUAGGAUUAACUUCUUAUCAUCUCAAGGAUAAUUCCUUCUUGGAUUUAUGUUAAAUAACGUAUGGCAUGAACUAAUGUGUGUGGAUAUGGGUUGUAGCAUAAUCGGCCUAGGAAAUUAGAUGCCAUACUCACUCACUUGGAAAAUUUCUUAGGAUCUUUGCUGAUGUACUAGGACAAAGCAUCUUCUAUUAGACUCUUCAUAAAAACAUUCUUCCAGAUCUUUCAUCCUUUUUGACCCUGACAGGUUAGUCACAAUAGAUCACUAAAUGAACCUUGGGAUAACUUGUGUCGUCACACGUGUCAAACUUUGGAGGUUUGUAACCCUAUUAUAGUUCUACACCCAGUUGUAUACAUAGGUCUUCAUAAUUCAAACCUUCUAUCCCUUUACCUCCUUCGUAUCCCUAAACCCAACUUUUCAAUUUCUUGAGUUCCUAAACCAUGUUCUUGAUGAGCAGGUCCUUCUCAGUGGAUUUUGGUGCAUAGGAGGUUGGUUGAGUAGAGUGAGGUAUGGUUUCCAUGUAUAUAGGGUUGUUUUGGUGAUUUCCCGGAACCUGGGUGUAAUGGUGAUCAUUGGUUGAGUUUUGAGGGUCGCGAAUAGGUUGUGGUGUGUUCUGGGGGCUUUGGUAGGUAGCACUUGGCGGGUACUAGAUCGGUUGAUGAUUGGUUAUGGUGGAGUUGGUAUCGAUAAUAGAUUGAGAUUUUGAGGUGAUUGCAUAUUCAUACUGUGCGACAGGGUUUUGUGGAUGAUGUUUUGGUGUGUUUUGGGAUGAUGUUGUGUUUUUGGUGUUUUUUUGGUUGAUAUGGGGGACAUUUAGGGUGAGGCAUAGGUUUGCCAAGUUGCGGACCUGCUCAAGUUGUGCCUAUAGCUCCAGUAUCUUUUAUUCCAAACUAAAAACCAAAUCAUUUGGUGUCGGAGUACUCCGACCAUCUGAAGUUUCUGCAUUCUCCAGCGUUUUCUUUCGAAUACCACUUAACUUAUCCAUUUUAGCUUUCCCUUUGCUCUUUGUAUUAUUUGGAGGAGGAGAAGGUAGAGGGUCUCUAGAUCUAGUGUGAUACACUAAUGAUCCCAGUAUGUGCGAACCAACCUUAGGGGAUGUGAAUAAUAAAGAAUAAAGAAAACAAAAGGUAAACAACUCAGUAAGGGUUUUAAAAAGUUUUCAGUAUUUAAACACGUAGUGCGGGAAUGUAAAUUCGUGCCCUAAUUUGGGACCUUCUUUUGCGCACGAGGUAGCCUUAGCAACAAAUGUAGUUUGAGAGAUCCAUAGCCAAUAAUUGCCUCAUUUCAUUAAUGUAAAAAUAAAUGACCCAAAACAAUAGUAAAUAUUGUUACUAAUGGCACUCAGUCUUAUUACAUUUAAAAGAAAAGCAAGUAAACCUACUUUACUUGGUCCCAGAAGGACCCUCUCUAAAUCGGAUGUUGUUGUCGAUCAUCUCUCCCAGCUCGCAUAGGUUCAGCAGUAAGAAUGCACUUGCCAAAUGCCCUCCUUCAUUUCCCUCAACGUUCUGGCUGUUGGUGACCUCUUUCUUAUCUUCCCUUAUAAUUCCAUUAAAUUUUACUCCAGAUAUUCCACCCUUUUGCUGGACUUAACAUCUCUCUCUUUCUACUCAUUAAUCAUUUCCACAUCGGCCUUCUGUGUGACAUAUGCUCAGCUUUAGACACUCGAACUCUUUUGUGUAGCUUGUUAUUCUUCACCAAUGCUUUGGCGAACUCAUCUAUGACCCCAUUUCCUGGACCAACCCUUCGCUCGAAGACUCCAGACAAACUAUCACCAACCAUGAUGGGUAAAAGUAUGAAUGGCCCGUAUGAUAUCAGUCUGAUUUGGUGGUGUCCUACUCCACAAUAAUCUUCAAAGUCCACCAAUGUUUUGCUUUAUUCUUAUAUGGGACGGCGUCACCCUUGAAAUCAGCUAUGAAGUGACUCAUCUUAGCGACCUGUGGUAUGAUGUGUCUUUUGCCUACCUGUCUCUUGCCUUCCUGUCUCACAACCUUGAGGACAUCUCUAGAUCUGAUGAUGAAUUCGUUGGUGGGGAACCACUAGAACAUCCACUAAAUCGUGUCAUUAGUUAACUUGUUGAGGAACUUCACCCAUCCUAUAGCAUUAUUAGGUUAAGCAAACUUGUCCGGAAUGUAAGUCAUUCUCUUGGGGUGAUGGAAGGAUAUGUGGUCGUUUCACGACCUUUGUGCAAACUCUUUGAGUUAUUGAACCCUUUGGAGAUGUUCUAACAUCAAAACUUGUAACAUUAAACUGCAACCUUCAAAGAAUUUGGACACCUUCUCACAGUGUUCCAAGGCCUGAUAAAUAUCGUCAGAGGGACAAUAGUGCGUGUUUGUCCCUCUAUCCUUUCCAUCAAAGUUUUAGCCACCAUGGCCAGCCUGGUAUGGAUUCUAUCCCCUUGGAUUGGGAAUAUCAGCAUACCCAAGAAACACACAAUGAACAUAAAGACCAUAUGAAUAACCCAGCCCAAGGUGUUGAUUCAGAACUCAUCAUCAAAAAUACAGUAAGAGCUAUUGUGACCAUAUCUUUCAUAGAGGAAGUCAAAAGGUACGUAAGAGUUCUUCGGGCACUCCAAAAUCAUCAUUUUUUUAGCCCGAUCAUCUCAAGCAAACCUCUAGCGAUGCGAUUUUCAUAUGCUAACAGACCAGGGCUAUCCCAAGGCAACCAAGCAAAUGCUCCUAUCUCUUUUAGAAGGGAAUCAUUUCUAUGUCUCCGAAAUGGAACAUGACCCUUUCCUUGUCCCAAAACAAAGUGGUAGCCUUGAUCAAUAUUUUGUUUGGUUGAAGAUCAAACAGUAAGGCAAAUUUCAAAGGACUCAUUUCACAUGAUUUUGGGCACUUGAGGGAAGAUCCCUCCACCAAUCUAGCAAAAGUGAAAGUAUGCUACAAACCAUACCGAAAGUAGGGACUACGUACCUCAUUUUUUGCAAAACAAAAGAUGGUUAAGCUCUUUCCCCCUCCAAGUAAUCUAUUUAAACAAUAAUGAUUAGCAUAUUGGAACUUAUUUCUCCCAAAAUUAAUGCAUAAAAUCAUGGUUGUGUCUGUUCGGAUUAUGGAAAACCCUAUGGACUAUUGGACGAGGCUUCUUAAAAGGUUAUUAUGCGGAAAACAUAUUAACCCGGCUAGGUUUGACCAUAAUACAUGCACAAUUAAUUAGAGUAAGGUUGCUAUAGAGAUCUAAACUAGGAUCAUCAAGGGACAACUUAAAGGGGAAAGGCACGUAACCGUCGAACGCACCGUUGAUCGACUAGUUUUAUCGCAAAUAUGCCUUUUUGAAUUUAAAAGGGUGAUAUACGGGAAAAACACAAGCAGUCAUCAAGCGUUGCAAUAGUAUUGAUUACGUACGCGAUGAAUAUGAUGUUGAGCAUGAUUUAUGCAACAACAACAAAUUGCAUGUGUUCAAGUAUUUUCACGUUAAAAAAACAAUAAAAGCAAUAUUUAAAUAAUUGAAAACCAAUUACGGAAAAAGAAAAUAAAGAAACAAGUCAAUUUCAGGAAAUAAAGGAAAUCAUAAAUAAGUAGUUAAAUGCAAAUAAGGGGGAUGGUGAACGCAAUAAAUCAUGCUUAAAACUAAUUCAAAAAAUAAAUUCGUCAUGGUAAGUGACUAAAUAUCACCAGAAGAGUUGCGAUGUUGUCGCGUCCUCUUUUUGCCUUGCAGACUUUGAGUAUUUGAAGAGUCGUCACCUAACGGAUUAAGGUGCUCUAGAGCAAUUAACUCAUGUAACCAGUUUGCAUUACCAGAGAUUAGGGUAAGGGCUCGAAAUAACCUUGAGGGGAAGGUGUUAGGCACCCUCGGCGGUCCACAAUGGUGGGUUGUUGAUACCCUAAUUUUCCCUUUAAUAUUUCCAACACUAUGCCCUGACAUCAAUUAGUAUUUUUCAUACAAUUUCUACAAUUUAAAAAUAUUCUAAUUAUUUUAUUCCAGCAAUUUAUUUAUAAAACAAUCAUUGGUUGCAUCACAAAAAGUUUUAUAAUACUUUUUGUGGCAUAUUUUUAUCAUUUGCAGUUGUACUAAGUUUUAAUUAUUGCACAAAUAGUCAUAUUUGUGUUUGUACGAUAUAGUUGCAAUUACUUUGUCAUUAUAGCCUGUGCAUGUAUUACUAUAUUAUUUUACUAGAAAUAGCCUUUUAAAUUUUUAAUAUAUUAAGUAAUUUUUUAAAAAUAUUUUAGGCAUGAAAACCAUUAUAAACAAACUAUUAGUUACAAUUUUAAAAAAGUUAUCAAUUAAAGAGGUAUUUGACAAGUAGCCAUUUUUUAUCCUGGCGCUAACCGAACGAAAACCCCAAACCAAGCCCAGAUCUACCAUAGCCCAAAGCUAAAACCCCUACCCAACCCCUAACCCUUUCAAUCAUGGUUGUUGAUCACUAAGAUCAACGGUCACCAUUACCUCUUUCUUUUUUUAAUUCCAAUGACACCCAAACCCUAGCCAUUCGCUUACACCUGCCCCUGAAACUCUCCACUCUCCAAUUUUCUCAGAAACCAAACUUAACCCUAUCCACUACCACCCUCAACUAGCAAUAAUCCCCUUUAUUCCUACCCGAUAUAUUGCUUACAAUGGUUGUACAAGGCCUCUACUUGUCUCCUAUUUUCCCUGGUUGCUCGAUUGUGUGGUAUCGUAGAAGGACCUCGAAAAGUUCUGGUCCAAAUCUCAAUCAAGACUAAUAAAAGAGUAUGUAUAUGAUUUGUGAGUGCUUUCUAUCAAAGUUUCACGGCUCAAAUCUUUGAUUCAAGGGCCAGCAUCUGUUUACCCUCUUUUCUUUUUUGAAACAUAGCAUUUGGACUUGAAUCCAUCAAAAUUCUUGUAGAUCUAAAGUGAUUUGAGUUCGUCAUUGCUCUUUCCUUAAGACUCCUUCAUUUCUUUACUGUUUAAUCAAUUUUUAAAUAUUUUUGUUAUAUUAGGGUUUGUUAUUUGUUAUUUAUUGGUCGAAACUCUAGAUAUCAUAAUUAUUUUAAAACUUCCACGGCUAUUCUUUUAGGUUCUUUUACUGCUAUACUACUAACCGAUUUUUUAAACACUACGAUACUCCGGGUUUUGAUUUCUAUGAUUUUUGUUUAAUCGAAUCUCUAUGUGUUGACAUGCUUUCAAUUUUUUCUUCUUUAAGUGUUUUCAAAUUAUGGUUUCGAAUUAUUUUCCGUCUAAUUUAUCUGUGUUCCCAAAAAUUUUACUCAACCUAUUUUUUUAUGGGAAUUGAUAUAUUCUUUCCAGAAUUAUUGAGUGAUCUCUGUUAAAAUUUUGUAUGCAUGAUUCUUGGUUAUUUCCGUGUUUAUGACCUUAAUUCGUGGUUCUUGUCUUAUUUGUUUACUGUAUAUUUACUGAUUCUUUAAAUGAUUCUUUCCUAAAUUAAAGUUUUGACUAUUUAAUUCUAUAGUUCUUUAAUUUGGUUUGAUUUGAACUCAUUUCUUUAAUAAGGCAUCUGAUUCUUUACUUCUUUACUCAAUCUGAUUGAACCUUUUGCCUUAACUAGUUUGUGUCGUUACGGUUGGCUAAUUUUCCUUAAUUAAAGAAGAAGACUAUGAUGAACUUUGAGAGAUGGAUUCAAAGAUCCCUUAAUUGUUGAUUCUUGAUUACUUUACCUUAUUUGCUCUAGUCUUGAACUACUAUAAAAACUCUUUAUUUUAACUUCUUAAAGACGGACAUUAGUUCAUCAACUGCUCUGACACUCUAAAAAAGCUAUUUGUUCUUCCUGCCAUUUGUGAUCUUCACAAGUCUAGCCGACUGUAUGCCAAGGCUAUAAAUUGCAUAAUUUAUGGCUUCCAUCUUGUGCUAUUUUUCCCUAAUUAGUAUGCCUCUAAUUAUAUUUUAGAAUCUAAACCAAAGCAUUUAAUUACUACUUUAGCUCAUCAGUCCUGAAUUAAUUCCUGCUUCGGUCUAUUGUUUAUCUAAUAUGCCUAAAUACUACCUUAUUCAAAUAUGUGAUUAGCAUGUCUCCACUUUACUUGCCUAUUCAUUAUUUUGUUUAACAUGUCUCACACUAUCUUAUUCCAUAUGUGAUAAGCUUGUUUGUCUGACUACGGAUUAUAUAGCAUGCCUAAACUUUAUUUUGUAAGUGUCUGAUUAUCACGUCUACACUUGUAAUACUUGCCUAGCCAUUCUAUUAAGUUCUUGCAUGUUCUUCCGUACUCCUGCUACGUUAUCUAUUAUCUCUAGGAUUACUCUAGUUGUGUUGUUUAUGUGUCCUCAACAUGUUUCAAUUGUGAUCAUUACUUCAUGUUUCAAUGACCUACAUUAUAUCUAACCUAUUAGUUCUAUACAACCCCCGGAGAAUUCUAUGCAUCCUAUUUUUUUAUGUGCUCCACUAUACACUAAGGUGUGUUCUAUAUGUCUCUGAAACCUCUCUCAUCGUGUGAAACCUAUUUGCCAAGUGGUUCUGAAUAAUGGUUGUUCUUUUAUUUGUGUUUGCCUUAAAGUAUUUUUCAUACGUUUCUCAAGUUGUUUUACCGCCAAAUUAGUGAUUUCUAGGAACCCUCCUCGUAAUUUUUACCAAAACUCUUUCAAAUCAUGUCAAGCACUCUCACUUAUUCUUAGCUUAUGAAGUUACACCCCUCUGGUAUGUGUACUUCUUCGAGGUCCCUAAGAUCUCUAUAAACUCUAGCAUAUCAGAGUUGGCUUUUCCACACUGCACAUAACCAGUUUUUAUUUGAGAAAGUCUGGGUGUGACCACUGCCCGAGAUCCUGGAGGUCCUUAGGGAACUCUGACACACCUAGACACACAUGUGGUAAUUAACCUUAGUAUUUGAGACUAGUGAAGGCCUAGUACACCAGGAUUUACUUUGAGCGUACUUCAGGCUUCCUAUAGCUUAAUUUCUAUGAUAUCUAUGUAUUUUUUAUUCAACCAUUGGUCUGUAAUAAUUAAUUAUAAACAAAUAUUGGGGUGACUAGUAAAAAGGGUAGAUAGUUGUAGAAUGUGGGUAAAGUUUGGUAGAUAACAUGUCUAUUGGUUUUACUUUGGUUCAAAUGUGUUUUGUUAGAUAACAUGCCUAUAGGUUUUACUUUAGUUCAAAUGUGCUUUGCUAGAUAACAUGCAUAUAGGUUUUACUUUGGUUCAAAUAUGUUUUAUUAGAUAAUAUGCCUAUAGGGUUUUGCUUUGGUUCAAAUAAGUUCUGCCUGCUUUACUUUAUAUGAUUAGAUACCAUGCAUAUAGGGAAUAAAAUAACUAAGUUUCAGUUUCCAUUACGACAUAUAUUCAAAUAUGUCUCUUAAGAAAUCACACCUAUAGGAUCGAGAAUCCAUUUAUAUUAGAUCAUGCCUAUAGGAUCUAAAAUUUGAUUAACUAUAGAACUCACGCCAUAGGGUCUAAAUAAAUUUAAUUAAUUAUCCUACUUAUCUCUUUAAUGGGCUUCAAUGUUGUGUUAAUUAAUGUCACUAGAAAUCAUGCCAAUAGGAUAAAGAACUUCAAAAUGUUUUCCCAGAAUUGUGACUGCAUAUACACACUUAGGCAAGCCUUAGGGUGUUAAAAUUAAAACAAGUUUUGCUUAGGUAUGAAAUUAUCCAGGCUUAACAGGCUAUAAAAACUAGUUUGCAAACUAUUUAGGGUUCGUAACUUCAUUAUGCAUAUCCUAAGUAUGUAACAUUCAUCUAGAUAUCAUGUUCUUAGUUUUUUUGAACUUCCUUCAAAAUAUGUGUUUUAGACGUGCUGUUUGUUUGCCUAUAUAUACGGUUGUAAAUGCGAGCCUUCUAACUGCUUGUUCUUAUUUGCUUGUCCUAUAUGUUAUUUUUUUGUUGCCUAGAUUUUUUACCUCUUACAAAAUUGUAGGCUGUGUACAACGGUCUAAAUUUAGAUGUCUCAAAUUCCUCCUAGACCAUAAGGAAAGGACGGGUAACAGCACGCUUAGAGUUCACUAAUUUAACUUGCACAUAUAACCACUAAGGGGAGGGUAAUGGUUAAUAAAAGGAUAUGAUGACAUGCCCAUUAAUGUCACGUAUAGACCCUCUCAUUGAGGAGUGAUUGCCAAGAAUUUUAUGGGUAUGUUCGUAUAUAUUAAUCAACCUAGGAGUUCCCUUUCCCAAUUCCAUAUGUGUUUAAAUUCUCUAAACUUCCUUUUCUUUACGUAUGCAUAUGUUGUCCAAAUCUCUUUACCUUCAUUAUUCAAACUUCCUUGACCAUAUGUGCAUUUAGAUGGGAAAGCUACGUUAUCUGCAAAUACUUGCUUGCUUGUUAAUUGACUAAUUCAUAUAGUUUAAGUUCAGUCAGGACCCACCAUUGUGGAUCGCGAGGGGUGCCUAAUACCUUCCCCUCAAGGUUAUUUCGAGCCCUUACCCUCUUCUCUAGUGAUGCAAACUAUUUACACGAGUUAAUUACUCUGGGUGCCCUAAUGCAACAUAAUCUGUUAGGUGGAAACUCUUAAAAUACACAAUUCCUAAAAAGAAACGAGUUGUUCCUCCAUGAAUGUCGAAACCUGGACUUCCCCGCAAAAAGUGGAAAAAAAGGGGCACGACACCAUGGCGACUCUGCUGGGGAUAUAUUAGGCUCUUACCACAACGAACUUAUUUUUUGAAUUAGUCUCAACCAUGCUUUAUCCCGUGUACACUUUCCCUUUAUUUGGAUUUAACUUAUUCUUUAUGAUUUCUUUUAUUUCCCGAAACUGUCUUGUCUCUUUGUUUUCUUUUUCUGUAAAAUUUAAUUAUUGCGUUUAUCAUUUUUUAUGUGCAAAUACUUGAUAACAUGUUUAUUGUAUCAUAAAUCAUGCCCCACAUCAUAUUCCACUGAUGCAUAUCAAAUCCAAUAGCAACGCUUGAUGAGAUGUUGUGCUCUUCCAAUUUAUUUCCCUUAAAUUCGGAAAGGCUUAUUUUCGGUAAAACUAGUCGAUCAGCAGUGCAGUCAAGCUUGCCUUUUUCCCUCAUUUUGUCCGCUUGAGGGUACCAGCCUAGAAUCAUAUAGUAACCUUACUCUUAUCGUAAUUGUGCAUGCAUCAUGGUCAAACCUAGUCAGAUUAAUAUGUUGUCCGCAUAAAACUCCUUUAAUACAAACCUUAUCCAAAAGUCCACUGGGGUUUCCAUAAUCCCAACGGAUAUAAUCAAAUUCUAUACAAUAAUUUGGAGAUCUGAGUGCCUAUAUACUAAUCAUAAUGUACAAAUAGUUGAGUCUUGCGGGGGAGAAGGGCCUAACCUUUUUGUUUUGUAGAAAAUGAGACACGAGGUCCCCAGAUUCGGCAAGGUCAAAAACAUCCCAUCAUUGCUACUAGAUUGUUGGGAGGACCUUUCCUCAAGCAACAAGACUCAUGUGAGAAAGCCCUUUGGCAAUUUACCUUCUCUACUAGACAUUAAGCCAAACAUUAUGUUGAUCGACGCUUCCACUUUGUUCUGGGAUAGUGAAAGGGUUGUGUUUCAUUUCGGCAAUAUGGAAAUGACACCACUCCUAGAAGAAAUUGGGGGACUUGCGGGACUGACUUUGGAUAGCCCUGGGUUGUUGGUAAUGGUAAAGGGUUCCCGAAGAUGAUAGGGAUGAAGAAAAAUGUUGACUUAGAAUGCCUGAAGAAAUCCUACAUACCCUUCAAAUACACAUAUGAGGCAUAUGGCUAUAGAAAGUCCUACCUACCUUCGAUGACGAGUAUUCUAUCACUUUUAUGGGAGACAUCCACCGUAGAAUGUUCAUGUUCAUUGUGUGCUUCUUGGGUCUAAUAGUUAUCCCAAUGAAAAGGGAAAGAAUCCAUACUAGAUUGGACAUGGUCGCCAAGACUUCGAUGAAAAGGAUCAAUGGACAGACAUACACCAUACACCAUAGUUCCCAUGAUCAUAGCUGACAUCUACAAGGCUCUGGAGCGCUGUCAAAAGAGGAUCGAGAAUUUUGAGGAUUGCAAGAUGUUGCUACAAUUAUGGUUAUUAGAACAUGUUCAAAGGGGCAUGAAUCGCCAAGAACUUCCAUGAAGGCUUGGAACAAUCAUAUUGCCUUCCAUCACCCCGUGCAGAUGACAUACAUUCUGAGUCCAUCAUCAGAUCCAAGGACAUUCCACACUUGGUGCUGAUUGGGUUGAGGGGAAUAUACACUUAUGUCACUAUCCAACUUAUUAGGCAAGCAGGAAUGAAGUAGGUUAUACCAAGGGUUUCCAAGAUAAGUCACUUCAGAGAAGACAUUUAGGACGAUGGCGUCCCUUAUAAGUGCUAAGCUCAGCACAUGCGGCACUACGAGAUCAUUGUGUAAAGAACAUCGUUGAGCCAGACAAGUAGCAUAAGCGGUGUGAACGUCUCUACACUACAUGGUUAGAAGACAAUCUAAAGGGAAUUGUGAUGCUAGUAGUCGGUCGAGGGAAUAUGAUCAUAGACGAAGAAGCUGAGGCUCAAGUUCAAUAUAACAGACUGCACAACAGGGUCCAUGUCUCUGAGAAUGAGCACCGAGAAAUACACGAUACAAAUAUGAGGCUAAUAAACGAAUGGAAAGAAAUGGUUUUCAGUUCAACCAGAAGGUUAGAGUAUCUAGAGCAAGGAUUAGUGAAGCUGGAGGGUAAAACAUAAAGAGGAUUGAGGAUUGCCAGAAUGCUGAAGGAAGCGAAGGAGGACAUUUGGUUAAAGCCUACCUACUGUUGGGUCUGCGCGAGAUGGGAAACCUGUAUGAUGGAGUCUUGAAGAUCGAAUCUGGGGAAGGUCCUUCUAGGACAAAGUAGGCUAGAUUUAUUGCUUUCCUAAAUGUAACAAGGCCAAGUGCCAAUAGUGACUUACUUUUCUAUUAUCUUAGUGUCAUUUUAGAAUUUUUCUAUUUUCAUACUAUGAAAUAAGGCAUUUACUGGCAUCUAAAGUUGUCCAAAUAUAUUUGUCACUAGGCCUACCUCGGACACAAUGAGACUCCCAAAUUAGGACACAAAUUUAAAUUCUCGCGAUAUGUGUUUGAAUACUACAAACAUUUCAGAACCCUUCCUAACUUGUUUACCUUUUUAUUUUCCAUUUUCUUAUUCCCAUACCCUAAGGUUGGCUAGCUUAUACUGGCAUCAUCAGUGUAUCACACCAGAUCUAGACGCCCUCCAUCCCCUCCUUCUCCAAGCAAUAAUAAGAGCAGAGCGAAGGCUAAUACGGACGACUUAAGCGGCAUUCGAAAGGAAAAUGUAGAAAAUACAGAAAGUUCAGAUGUCGGAGUACUCCGGCACUGAAUGAUUUAGGUUAGAGGUUGGAACAAAAUAUAAUGGAGCUACAGGUAGAACCUGAGCAGGUCCGCAACUUAGAAAACAUAUCCCUCACUUUGAAUGUUCCAAACAUUAAGCAACAAAACACAAAGUACCUGACACCUCCUCAAAACACACAUAACUAAAAUCCACAAAACCCUCUUGCACCACAUCAAUAUGCAACCCCACCUCAAAAUCCCAACCCUUUUCCAGUACCAACUCCACCACAACACCACCAUCAACCAAUUCAAUACCCAUGUAUGCGGCAAAAUCAUAGGACUUAUUUCUUUCUAUCAAGCCACUUCAGAAAGUCUCGAGACACCAAGGAUGUGGAUUUGCAACCGAGUUACCUCCCUCAGGGUUUGUCGAGGCCCGUUAUACAGAAGAUGAAGAUCGAGGCUAGAACAAAAUAGAAACUCCCAAGGCACAUGUCUAAGUCUAACAAAGUCGGCCUACCCGUAGACUAUAUCCAAGCGUCAUGUCUGGUCGUCCCAUCCCAAUGCUCUUACAAUUUAUACAUGGUACCAUGUUAUUGUUUGCCCUUAUUUAUAAAAGGAAACCUCACCAUCUUGUAAGGCGUCGUGGUCGCUCCAACUAUUCUACACAAGAUCAAUAAUAUCUCUUUCUUUUCCCUCUAACUUACAUGCUCGAGGCUACUCUUUCCAUUUAUUGGUUUCAUACUUAUUCUUCAUUUAUUAUUCUAUAUUGGCCAUAAUGAGCCUUCUUUAAUUAUAUCUAACCUGUUAUCCCAUUCCCAACUAACCUCGAUAGCUAGAGCUCGAGCUGGAAAUCGACCUCGAGGCCUUCCAUCGAUUAGACUGAAGUAUGGGCAGCAAGCCCCUCGAUUUGAUACCUGGCCCAUUUUAGCCUUCAUCUUAUCGUUCAAAUUCAUACCCAUAGCAUCAAAUUCUCUAAGAACUAGCAUAAUAAUAGACCACAUAUUUUUAGUCCCAUUUAUAAGUUUAAUUGUCGUUACAAUUUUUACACUAAAUAGUUGGCGCGCACCGUAUGAUAAAAAACAAUAAUGAUUUUUUUCUUCCUCGUUUUAUCACACAAAUGUAAGUUAUCUUUCACACAUUUUCUUGUCCAAUAUCUUUUGAUUCCAGGUCAAAAUGUCCGUCUCGGCAAAUAGAGUUGAGAACGACAACCCCAAAAACCAUGGGGAAAAUUGUGUGGUUGUUCUGGCUGUUGGCAGGCUACCGUAAAAUCCUAAUAACACACUUGGACAAAUUUUAGCAGACGAGAAUUCGCAGGACGCAUAGCCGAUCAAUGAAGCCUUACAUACCGCCAUGAGGAUACGACAUGACAACCAACAAGAAGACCAAAAAACCCCAACCUAGGAAGAACACGAAGUUAAUCUUCAUGUUAUUCUUAAAAUGUUGAAGGCACAAAAGUUGGCCAUAGACAGAUUAUAAAGCCAUUGGAAGACUCCUAGCAUAGUGCCACCGGAAACAGCUCCCUCUACCGAAUAGGUACCCAAGGGAUAGAGCAAUAAUGGAUCGAUAGCCGACCUUGACAUAGUAAAACUGCUUAAGGAUCUUACCAAAAGGAUUGAAACGGGAGAGAAAAUGAUAGCACCCAACGAUAAGAAGGUCAAGACCUACAACACUAGGGUCGACUAGAUCUUGGGUGCACCCCCGGUCCUUAAGAGUGUGGAUUCAAAUAAGUUCAUACAAUGGUCGCUCCCCAAGAAAAUGGCCCCAAAACGCACUUUAAAGAAGUUUGGAAUGUCGGAACACCCUAGGUAUAACGGGAGCUUAGAUCCCAACGAACACAUCACUUCCUAUACGCGCCCAGUAAAAGGCAAUGACACGAAAGAUGAUGAGAUCGAGUCAGCCUUAUUAAAGAGGUUCAGAGAAACGCUCUCGAAAGGGGACAUGCUGUGGCAUCAUAACCUAGCACCUAACCCGAUCAACUCACUUACCAUACCAACAGAUUACUUAAUAAAGGCAUACGGUGGUUCCAUCAAAGCAACAACAAUAAUGUCUGACACAUCUGAUAUUAAACAAAGUGAAAAUGAAAUGUUGUGAGAAUUCGCGUCUCGCUCCCCGAUGGAAAGAAUAGAAAUACCCUUGGUCCCAGACAACUAGGUGGCACAGACCUUCACUCGAAGCCUUAAUAAACAAAGCCCGACAUUUCCAAGGAAGUUAGAAAUAAACUUUAUCUGGUACCCAGCAAAGACCUGGGCGGAUGACCAAAUUCGACACUAGUCGCAAAUCAGGGUCGUGUAUGACCAGCCAGGAGCCCCUUCGGGCUUAGUAUACUGAAGCAGGCUCAUGACCAAGAAAUAGAUGCCAAACAGAGAAAGGUAUCGCUCGAAUACCACAGAAAGGAGGAAUGCCUCAUGAUGCAAUCUACCUUGAAAUAAACUGAGAGUAGAUCGAGGAAUAUAUCCUCGAGGAAUCAUUAAUAGAUCCAGAUUCGAUGAGGAUAAAAGGCCAGCAAGGGUGCCUCGCCCAUCAAGAUACAAUUUCAACAUUGUCAUAUCAGACAUCAUGUUCACCAUCAGUGAAACUAAUGACACCAGAUGGCCCAGACCUAUUCAGUCGAAUCCCCUUCAAAGGAAUCAAAGCUUGGUGUGUGAACUCUAUAACACGCACGACUACGGGGCCAAAAAUGGCAACAAACUCCGGAGGAAAAUUUCCAAGCUACUCCAUAAAAAUCACCGCUGAGAACUGUCAAGCGAUCGGUCUCGUGUUCAGUUUCGAGUAAGGAAGGCGGCCAGGAAAAACGAAGCAAAUGGGUCGUGACAUAUUACCAUGAUAGUGGGGGAGAAACGACACUCUCCAAGAACAUAUAAAAAGGAAAGUAAAAUUGUUCGUCACCAGAUAAAAUCAGAUCUGGGGAUAUAUUCUUGAGGACACUCUCACAUUUAGCAAAGAGGACACCAAGACCUUGUCUAGGCCUCACACUGACGCACUGGUAACAAUUUUCCUUGUUUGAUGCAUUUCAAAUAAAGCAUGUGCUCAUGAAUUCAGGUGGUUCGAUCAAUGUUGGCAGGCCAAAGAUGAUAGGGCGGCUCGAACCGACCGAGUCAAAUCAUGCCGACCUCUCAAAUCUUUGGCAAAUUCCAAACAGCGAUCGCAACGACAAAGAGAAACACCAUUCUCUCAGUUUUGCAUGGCUGGCCCAGACUGGAACACCAAGUUCUAUGUCAUCAAAUGAAGUACAAAGCAUGGACGCCUUGUUCAGAAGACCGCGGACGCACCGCGUGAAGGAAGUACCAUCCCCCAUCAUUAAAAGAAUGAAAUGCUACGCACGAUACAGAAUUAAAACUGUCGGCAAAAAGCAACACGUGACAAGGGGAUAGUUUGCAUCACAUAAUGUAUCGCCGGCACCAAUAUCUCCACUCUCGAAAAAUUCAAGGAGUAAUCGAACCACAUUUUCAACUAUGCCCAAUUAAACACAGUGGAGGAUCGUAUUGAGUCCUUUCUCCAAACCACAGCGACGCACCAGACUAAAGAAUAUCACACACGCACCUCAUGAUGAGGUAAGACCGAGCCCUUUCAUUAUUUUUCACUAACCCAUAUGCAGAAAACUGGUCAGGGCGGUCGAAAAUAUUAUCCCAACCCAAAGAUCUCAAGGGCUUAAGGGCAUCAGUUGUACUCUUUCCCUUUAGCUGAGCUUUCUUCCCAAAGGAUGUUUUGCCAGCAAGGUUCCUAACGACCAUGUACCACCUAAAUAGUUCCCAACAAGCAUACAAGACUUCUUUUUCAAUCAAUCAUGAACAUUGGAGGCACCCUAUUGAGAGGUCAUCCACUCGGAGGAAAAUAUGGAACGACAAACCAAGUUUUAACUGAGCAAUUGAUAUACCGAGACAAAUAGUUGAGUGAAUCGUGUCCGCAUAAGCUGUGCUCGCAAUAACAAAACAAUAUGUACCUACUCCAAGCAAUAAAAUAAUAUCGUUUUCCAAAGCACAUCGCACUCCAAUGCAAAUUCAAUAUUUUCACAGAAAUGACUCCUACGUCGAGAAUGCCCCGAAAUACUUGGAGACUAGCGUCAAUAAUUUGACACCCGCGUGAACUCAAAGUCGGAACUUCAUACUCGUACGCUCUCAAUGAGGCAGCAUGGAGAUUACAAAGCAUCUCCAAAGAAAAAAAUUAUCCCAAACACUGGGAGACUGGCAUCACAAACCUGGAAAGCGCAUGACCCUAGGGUCGAAAGACCCAAGGUCGUAAAAGCCCUCAAUAAGGCAACUCCGAGCUCACAAGUAAUGGCCCACAAGCCUGAGUAAACUCGAUGACUCGAAGAUUAUUGUUAAUUUCCAUUCACAUAAAAACCCGAGGCCAUAAGACCUCCAGUGGGAAAGCUCGGUCUAGCAAGAUCGAUUCAAUAUAACAACAAAAUUGUAAGACCUCAAUAGGCAUGACAAAACUGUAAGACCUCAACAGGCAUGGAAAAACUGUAAGACCUCAACAGGUAUGGCAAAUCUGUAUGACCUCAACAGGCAUGAAAAUUUUGUAAGACCUUACUACUGGCACAGAACUCAAUCCCGAAGUUUAGGGUAUGGGUCGCAUUUGUAGGACUCCUGAAAGGGCAUACCCUUGAUGAAGAUGCCUAAACUAUCACACUUGAGAUAAAAAAUGGCUCCAGCUAAACAUAUAUGACUAUGGUCAAAACUGCUGCACUAGCCAAAUUAACGCGACUUAGGGACGCCUGACCAUCGUUCACAAAAUCAUAGGACAUUACUUCGAAUCUACUUUCAAAAGACGGUAAAAAUAUGCUACUCUCAAUAGGAAAACGAGCUUCAACCAUGUUAGCUCGAAAUCACAUGGCUUUGAGCUACGAGUUAAACUUUUCGAGGUGCUCAAAAAUCACCUCUAACGACUUGAAAUCGAGGUUCUUCCCUAACCUAUGCAGUUCAAGAAAAAUUAUUCCAAAAAUGAGAGGAAAAUAAAACUUACAUAUGCCCAAGGGCAAAAUAGUAAGAGCCAAAGUCGUCAGCCAAACGAGCCUCAUGGCCACACACUAAAAGGUCUUAACGACCAAAAGCGUAAGAGCUACUGUCGCCAGCUUAUAAGAUUAAAAACUUGAGGAUUAAAAAUAGCUCGAGCCCUAACCUGAUUCAGAGACCGGAUCCAAAAUAACUAACUAUACAUGACUAAGGGCACAACAUAAGAGCCCUCAUCAUUUGAUCCACAAACCUCAUAGCCACAUUCUUGAAAGGUCGCUUUGAAUCGAGGCAUAAGCACCAUCGUCAUCCACGCAUGUAGGCAGAAAAACUUGAGGGUCAAUUAAGCAUGAGUCACAACCCGACUCGAAGACUGAAUCCGAAAUGGAUAAAAUACAAAUGACCAAGGGAAAUGCGUAAGAGCCAUUACCAUCCGCUCAUACAGGCACAAGAGAUUAAAGUUCAAGUAAGCUCAAGUAAAAACCGGACUCAGAGAUAAAACCCAAAAUAGUUGGGCAAAGCACAAGAGCUCUAACACCUACUUGAGCUAAAAAUCACGCUUAACCGAGCAUGAAAGAGCCUCCGGGCUUGCCUGAUGAGCUCGGAAGACGUAUGACGAAUCAAAGGGUUCUCGCCAAACUCCAAAACCAUCUCGUUUGGUCAAAAGCAAGGCAAAACAAGAUACAAAAGAGAUAAAGAUUUAGGUUCGUUUUAUUUAUAUACACAAAAUGUGCGUUAUCCAUCUAUAAACAUGCUCUACGAAUGUCAAAUACAAAAUAGCAAAAUCUAUGCUCCGCCCUAGAAGGCUGCAGCCUACCAGCCCAUCUUUACUCUCGGUCGCAACUAUAAAAAGUCACCGAGCAUCACGCUCGUCCGCCCUUAUUCAGGCUAACUGUUCCAGGAGAACGAAACCCCUGAUGCCGAUCUCUUCAAGCACCUCUCUUCGGGAUCCACAAUGAACAUAUUCCUCAAUUUUUUUUUUCAUGUUCGAGGGCUUGCUUCAACUCAUCUUGGCUAUCAGUAGCGUCCUUCAAAUGAGUCGACAUCUCCUGAUCAGCCUCAGCCCGACGCAAUGCUUCUUUAGCCCGAGCAUCGAUUAUUCCAGCCCUGACCUUCGUGAGAUCAGACUCGAGCUUCGCCAUAUCAACUUGAACUAAAACAUUGUCAAUGGCCAAGAGGAUUUGCGCCUCAAAGGCGGGAACUUUAUCCAAGACACCCUUCUCCUCUGAAGCCUGAACCUGCACGUGAGCCUUUAUUUCACCACAAGCAUUCCUAUCUCGGUCGGCUUCGCCUCUAAGGUACUCCAGAGCCUCCAUCCUUUUCUGCAACUAAAAUUGGCAAAAAGAUUAACCUUAAGGGUUAAAAAGGUAAAUGCAUACUACGAAAGGAUACCUGCUCCAUCAGAUAGCUCUCAUAAUUCCAGCUCUUGUACGCCUCAUAUCGCUAGCGCAUCAACUCAACCUCUUUCUCCUCGCUGAGGACCUAAGGGACAUACCCUCAUCUGGAGCUUUUUGACGCCUAGCCCCAUGACGGAGCAAUUCAGAACCAACCUCAGUUGAGUCAUAUUCAAUCGGAUGAACCCCCGGUCCAGAACCAAAGACUUCAUGAAUAGUAGGCUCGGGAAAUGUUCUCUCCUCAAAGACACGAGCCCGUUUAGCCCCGGUAAAAGCUCCAUCGCACUGCCAGUGUAGUCCCUUUAAUCAGCAUCGUCCCUUGGCAUAGAUGCCGAAGACUGCUACCCCUCUCCGGAGGAACACAACCACGCCCCAAUGGACCGCCCGAUAACUACAAUGGAAAAGACAGUACAAAAGAAAGAGGAAAAUGUCAUCCCAAAUAUACUAAGACCAAGGUAAAAGCAGCAUAUGUGACCUUGGUGUUUCACUUUCCAUCUACCCCAGUGUGAGCAUGUGAUUUUUGCCACAUGAAUUACUCCUACAGAAUUCCAAAGAAUUAUAUUUUUUUAAUUGUUUAUUAUUUUAGGAAUUAUUGUAGAAUUUUUGUAAUUGUUUGUAUUUUUUCUAUGCAUGUUUAAUUUUAUUUAGUUCAUGAAAAAAUACAAAAAUACAUUGCAUUUGCAUUUAGGGUUUAAUUUUAUAUUUUCUAGAUUAAUUAGUAAAUUAGUUGUUUUAUAAAAUAUGAAAAAUCACAAAAAUAGUUUAUUUUGUAUUUUAACUCUUUAGGUUUCAUUUUAUAGUUUUUCUUUAAUUUUAGAAUUUAAUUAAUUAUUGAAUAUUAUGAUGAGUGAUUAAUCUAAUAUGGUAAGUUAAUUUAGUUUAAGAAUUUAUUUAGCUUUUUCAUUUUAAUUUUGAAAAGAAAUGGAUUUGAAAUUGAAAAAGAAAAAGAAAAGUAAUAAAGGAAAUCCAAUUUUUUGGGCUAUUGCAUUUAUAUUUUCCCUAGUCCUAUGUGUUUAAAUACCCCUGGAACUGUUCAAGACCCGGCCCAACCACGCCAUACCCGGUCCAUAUCCCCUGUCCAACCAAACGACCCCGUUUGCACCAUGUUACAGGGGAAUUAUUGAUUUAGUUUGAUCGGACGACCAUGAACUAAUAUUUAGUUUCUCAUAUAAGUGUCCGAACAGGUUUUCCUUCCCAAUCCAAACACUCCUUCAUUCACCUCAACCUUUUGAGAUCUUGAAGAACCCUAGCACUGCCCCUAAAAUUCGCACACCCUCUGGUGGUGGCGCCACCUCAAAUAACCCCUGAAAUCACACCCUAUAACCUUAGCCAUUCCAUAUUCCAUAACCCAAAACCACGUCCCACGAAUCACUCUAUACUUGUUUGAAUCUCUAAUCAAAGGAUGAAGCCCUAAACCCCCAAAUUGCCUUACCCUCAUAUCAGUGGCAUGCAAGACAUUGGCCUCCAUGUUUUUGAGUUUCAAAGUCUGAUUUAACACAAAAUUAAUGAUGCUCGCUGGUUCUUGAUAAAGAAGAAGCGAUUGCAUUGGUUUUUGUUAAAUCGGAGAAUUCAGUGUUGGUUUCAAGUUUAAGUCGGUAAGUUUUCUUAUAUUUUCCUAUCCAUUUUUUUGUGCAUCAUCUAUUCCCCUUCUUUUUCUUCACCUUUCUUUAAGUAGUUUCUUCUGUUUGAAAUUUAGCAUAUGUCCAAAUUCUUAAACUAGGAUUUUCCGUUUGGAUUGAUUUGUGUUCAUAUAUGUUCUGUUUGUUUUAUAGUUUUUCUUUUCAAAUUUUAAAAGUUGUUCUCUGAUUUUUGUUUGGUUUAUGCAUUUGCAUGUUUAGUUAUUAUUCAAGACUUUCCUGUUUUAGUCUCAUAGCAAAUUUAAUAAGGUUGUUUCGACUUAGUAAUAUAAUUAAUUCUAUGGUUAUUGGUGUUAGUAAUCAGUCAUUUAGUUAGAUUUUAGUUUGAAAUAAUUCAAGUUAUUUCUUCUUAUGUUUCUUGUGAAUCACUAAAAUUGAUUUCUGAUUUGGUUUGGGCUUUAGGGUCAUUUCUGGCCCAUUUUCUAGGAAAACCCAUUCAUUUUAGUUUAAAUCUUGGGUCAGACAUGACCCAUGUGGACUGCUGAGGUAAUGUGAAGGUGCUUUAAGGGUAAUUCAGGGUUUUUAGUUUAGGGAAUCUUGUGUAACUGAUUUAGGAAGCUUCUAGGAAAGUGGGGUUGGGGCUAGUUUAAAAAAAGAUAUUAAAAUCAAGGACUAACUGGCAUAAACGAAAAUUUGAAAAUGUGUAAUAGGCAAAAUUUGAACCAUUUUCUGCUACCCUAAGAAGUCUCUAGGAAAGGCAUGUUACUUCCUAAUCAAGUCAGAUUUUAGAGACUGAAAAACACUAAAACAUUUAGAAACGGCUGAGUUUUCUUUCAAAUUCCAAAUACUGAAAUUUCUACAAAUUUUCUUGAUUUUUUGUGUUCUAAUUCCCUUUGAUAAGUCAAAAUUUCUAAAAGUUCAAUAGAAUAGUGCAUCUAGGUUGGGUCAAGAGUUUGAAGCUGAUAUGCUAAUUCUAUACUGUCCCAUUGCUGACUUACUACUGUUGUUUCCUCUUAAACUUCAAGCUCAUUUUUCCUUGUUUUAAAUUGAUGUAACCAGGUACUUACUGAACCCUAUUGACAUGUUGAAAUAAGAGGAUAGGAAGUUGUUGAUUAAAUUGGAAAUCUAUGCCAUUUGUGUUUAUCAAAUGUCCCUUUUAUGUCCUUAAACUCACUCAAUUGUGUAGUAGUUUUGUUUUCUCUUCCCUUAUUUUGUUUGUUCAUUUAUUCUACUAGUUUAAAUUUCUCACGAAAAUUUAUAAAGCUAUUGAAUUUGUUAUUUUGACAUGUAUGGACUGUGGGAUUACUGUAAUAGAAGUUCUAUAUUGAACUACAUAUUCUUGCUUCAUACCUAUUUAAGUUUAUUGGGAUUAAUGUUUGUUUGGGGAUUUGCUUGUAUUUGUUAAGAUGAUACAUACAUACACACACGUGUGUGUGUGUGUAUAUAUAUAUAUAUAUAUAUAUAUGUUUGAAAUCAGAAAGUUCUUAUUAGUAAAUGCAUUCUUUAUUUGGGAAUCAUGUUACUGUUUGGCUAUAAGUCAUGAAUUAUUUUAGGGAAAAGGGUAAUUGUGUAUGAAUUAUUGCAGCAUUAGGAUAAGUCUAAUUAUAGAAAAGAAUUUGGCAUCAUGAAUAUGUGUUGCAUUUGUCUAAGUUUGCAAUAAUUUAGCAGUAGUCUUUUAAAUUUUCAGAGUUUCAUAGAGAAAUGUAGUUUGCAUCAUUCAUCAGUGCUAAGUCGUGUAACUGGACUGCAACGUUUGGCCCAAAUGUGUAAAAAAAUUGUCAUUCUGUUGUUCACUUACACAUUAUGGCUUCACGUGAGCCCAGUCCCUCCCUUGUGUCUGGAUGCAUAAAACGCUCAACAGAAAUGUUGGGCAUGUUGCUGGUUUAGUCCUUCCAAGCAGCCAAAUUCUUAGCUUCGCUUUUACACAAUCCCAUUAAUUAUUAAGUCAAGUUUGAACAUUAGUCCGUAACAAUUUCAAAUUCCUUUAAAUCUUCUUUAAUUAGUUAGACUCUUUCAAAUAAAAUUGAGGCGUUCCAUAUUAGCCAAACAUAUAAAUUAUUGCCCUCAUUGUCUAACUAAUUUUAAAAUCUCGAAACUCAUGGCCCUCAUUUAAUUAAUUUUAACUCUUUAGAAAUGAGGUGUGUCAUCAGUUUAAUUUUCCAUGGCCCUCGCAAACCUUGUUAUUAACUUGAAAGUGUGUAUUUACUUUAGGAGCACUAUUUUAAAUUAAUUUUCUUUGUUUAGGUUUACAUUUUAUAUGACCCAACUCCAAUUCUCAACAACGUUAAAUAGAACGUAUCACGAUUCAUGGGUGCAAUACAUGUGACAUGGUACAAGACUUAUUUAACAUUGAAUCUUCCUAAAUUUAAUUAAAAACGGUUAAUAUGCUAAAAUGUGCCAUAGGAUAAAAUAUGUAAUAAAUUAGAUAAUAGGCCAAUUUUAAUAUUUUAAGCAACCAUGCUAGAAUUACGGAAUCCGAGAAUGCCUAAUACCUUUUUUCGAGUUAAAUAGAAUUUCUUAUCUAGAAUUUCUGGUUCGUAGACUUUAAAAUAAAAGUCGAAUUUCCUCGACUUGGGAUCUUAGAAUAAACCGGUGACUUGGAACACCAAUUAAACUAUCUCAAGUGGCGACUCGGAUAAAUAAAUAAUCCCAUUUUGAAUAAUGUCACUUAAAGUGGAAAAAUUCUCUCAUAUACCCUCGGGGUAUAGAAAAGGAGGUCUGACAGCUCUAGCGACUCUGGUGGGGAUAAGAACCCAGAACUUCUAGUUCAGGGUUCAAAAUUUGAGAUUAGAUUAACUGUUAUAAUUGGCUUUUAUUUGUUAUCUAAUUUAUACAUGUUGAGCCUAAUGUGCUAAUUUGCCGCUUUUUAUCGCUUAGAUAUUAUUUAAAUUGUACAUUAAACUGUUACGAAACUCUCUUCUCUCUAAGGCUUCUAAGUCAUCUGGGAAGUGUGCACCUCGUGUGACAUCUUUUCUAUUAGAGUCUAUUCCCAAUUUUAGAACGAGGUUUGGACAAGUUACAAAGCCAGUGAAGCUUCUAUAUUCCUGGUACGCUGCCCCCUCUUGGCUCGAGAUGUCCGCUCGAGUAAGCCAGGUCAAGAAUAAUACACUUGGGUUUUAAACCUAGUAUAACAAAAUCUCAUGCCGGAUCCCUAGUAGGAAAGUUUGUUUGCAUCACGUGCAUUUGACUUUAGAGACUCAAUACAGUGGUUGGGUCUGUCUAGGACAGAUGUACCUAAAAUGUAAAGACUAUCCUGAUGCAUUCUACUUUCCACUUGUGCAUUUAUUUGCUUUGAGUUUGCAUGUUGAUCGGCUUAUGAAUAAUAGAGAAAUGUUGGGAAAAAGGAAAAACUAAUUUGCGGGCUAGAGAGAUAAUUACAUAUUCUGAAAAACCCGAUGUCUAAGAAGUACCGAAACUCUAUCGAAAUCUUGAAAAAAAAAAAACAGAUAAAAUCUAUUUUGAAUUUAUAUAUAGUAUUGUUUUUAUUAUGUCAAAUCUGCCUAAUCUAUGCCAGUUUUAUUCUAACUAGCCCUCAUCUAGUCCAAUUUCAUUUUUGCAAAAAUAACCAAAAAGAACAAAAAUUUUAUGUUUUUGUCGUAAAUAAUUAAGGGAAUGUCAUUCUUGUCUAAAAUGGAAAAAUUCCCUAAAAGGAUGUCGAAAGGUUAUUUUUUCAAGAAUAGCCAUCUUUGGUCUUUUUUUACAAAAUUUUUGGCUGGUUAGCAAACACAGCCCAAAAAUCUUCAUUCCAAAAGUGUUAAAGGGUCGUAUUUGCAAAGCUGAUUAUAACCUACUACUACGACUGUGGAUACAAGAACAUCUUUGUCACCAUGUCGGGUAUAUGAACUACGGCAUGACUUGUCUGAAUUGCAUCAAAGAGUACGAAAACUGAAUGUCGGAUGUUGAAUUUGCAUAACGUACAGAGGCUUGGUUUGCACACUUAAGUUCAUUAACUUCGGAGAAAAUUGAGUUGACUUUCGAUUGGCUUCAUGUCACAGAAGUUCUUUAUAUUUCAGCCGAGGUGUGUUAUUUUUUCGUAAUGGGUCUCCGGAGCAUUCAGCCAUAUGCUCCUCAUAGGGUGUUGCGCCAACUGGGCAGGCUUCAAACUAUUCCCAUGACAAAGAUCUGAUCCAACAAGUUGUCGAAUUGGGCCCAAGGGUUGUAUUCCCAGAAGGAACAAUUCGUCAAAUUUUGAAUGAGUUUAGAUUUCUAGAGCCUAAGACUUUGGUGCGGGAUCUAUCUAAAGUUGAGGUAGACCCUAAUUACAUGAAUUGGAUUGGUAAAAGGCUUCAAAUCUUUAGAGAGCCCGAAAGGCCUGCUAAAAGACCUCACAUCCAUUAAUUCAUUAAUGAUGCACAAAAGCAACGGGGUUGGCUGGCAAAUGCAGCAAGCUAUAGGGCCAAGAUAAAUAAAUUGGAGGGACAAAUCAGGGACCUCAAAAUUUGACAAUACUGUCCAAGCUACUACCAAUAAAUGGGAAAAGAAGAAAUUCGCUCAAGAAAAAAAGGCCCUUAAAGCUCAGAUUCAAAAGAUGAAAAUAGCUGCUAAAAACGAAGAGAGAAGUUGAGCAGAUGAAAGGCUUAUAAAUGAUCUUAGAAAUAAAGUAAUUGAGUGUCAAGAUGACUUAGAAAAAUCGAAGGCUAGUCAAACAAGAGUCUGAGCACAACUAGAAAAGAAUGCAGAAGGACAAAGUGGAAUUUGUGUGGAAAUUGAAAAUAAAAUAUGAGGGGACAGCCACAAUGUUAAAGAGAAAGUUAAAUACCCUUGAAAAUGAGGCGACCAAACAAGCUAGGAACUUUAAAGCCAAAAGGGAAUAUUGCUAUGCCUUGAUGUCCCAGAUAGAGGAAGAUAUGCAACAGUUGCAGAGUCAAAACCAUCAUGACACACAGGUGUUAGAAGAUAGAACUCAGCAAAUCGGGCGUUUUCUCCAAGAAAAAGGUAACAUACGGGAGAGGGUUAGAGCAAUUGCCGACUGCAUCAUUGUGAAGUGUCAAGAAUGUGAAGACAUGACUAGGACCACCUUCUUCGUUUCUGUUAUGACAUUUGUUCACCAAAUAAUGAGUGAUCUAGAGUAUCUUCAAGGAGAUCUUGCACAUAGGCUCGUGGCAAGACAAAAUGAUGUCUCACAGGCCCCGAAAGUAGAAGCACUUAUAUACUACUGAUUUUCAUUUAUCGAGUUUGUACUUCAGUUGUUGUUUUGAGUCUGUUUGUAGUUGUAAAAGUCCAAAAAUGAGUAUUUUUAAAGUCUUUUUGUAAUAGGAAAGUUUUGGAGUUUUAUUAAUUUAAAUUGUAAAUUCCCAAAGAAAAUUGUUUCUUUAUUUUUCGUACUAAUUUCUUGAACUACGUGAUGAUCUUAUUCACGUGGCAUCAUGAUAUGUAGGCAAUUCUUGUCGGAUCCGAUCAUUAUUUUUGGAAAUAACUCAAAUAAAAGAGGGAUGUGGAAGGAAAGAACUGAAAGAGAAAACAAAUGAAAAGGGGAGCCAAAGAAUAACCUAAAGAAAAACAAAGAAUGGAGAGAGAGUGCAAGAAAAGAGAGGAAAAGGGGAAUAAGAAGAAAAUCACAAAGAGCCAAAGGGGAAAGAAAAGAAAAUUAGGAAAAUAAGAAAAAUUCGGGAUAAAACACGCAACCGUUGCAAAAUAUAUAGAAACAUAUUUAACUGUAUAGGUGCAUCACACCAAGACGUGCGGUUACCUAUGUGUUAAUUGCUUCACACUGAUCGGUUUGUUGUCUACUGUUAAGUAUAGUUUCUAUAUUAAGGUGGUUAGUUUUGUGGUAAUCUGGCUUCACAUUCGUACUUCACAAAGAUAAAAGGAAGUGUUGAAAUAACUUUAGAUAGUUAACUGCCAACGGUUCCUAUUAUUGAGGAUAGUCUGAUCUCGGCCAUCCCAACUUAUGAGUCAGCAACUACUAAGGAAAAUAGAAUUCUGCAUCUUCGCAUGAUGGAAAUGUGGGACGCCUGGGCCAGCAGUAGGGAACCACUAAUAUGAUACUUGGAUUCCCCGCGCUAUUUCCCAGGGCAAGUAAGACUUCCAACAUCCCCAUAAGUUAUCUAAAUACCCCACGGGGAUAUCCUACCAUCUCAGCCUCCUUUGCUAGAACACCUUCUGAGGCUCUCCCCUAGGUGUUAACAUUCGGUGUGGCCUCAAACAUAUUCACUGCGCUACUUUGUUUAGCUAUGGCACAACCCACUCUACCCAUGCCUAGAUUUGAUCCAUCAUCAUUCACCUUUCAAGCACCAUCUUCUCCAAUGGAACCAACCAUGUUAGCUAACAAUGCUUACCCUCAGCCACCCCGGUACGAGUUUAGUGCGGGGCAAGAAAAAACAAAAAAUCACUCUGAACAAGAGGAGAUUACUAGAAAGAGGAGGAGAAUGGAGCAGAGUCUCAAAACUAUACAAGGUUUGAGCGGGCAAAUUUGCAUAUCCUACACUGACUUGUGUAUGUUCCCACACGUACGUUUACCCUUGGGUUUCAAAACCCCGAAGUUUCAAAAGUAUGAUGGUCAUGGGGAUCACAUUGCCCACUUCAAGAGGUACUACAACUAAUUAUGGGGAACAGGUUGAAAAAAGGAGCUUCUCAUGGCUUUUUUUUGGAGAGCCUAGUUGGCAUUGCUUCUGAAUUGUACGCGUAUCAGGAUAUAUCUCUGUGGCAUAUUUAGGACAACCUGGCUUGGGAUUUUCUCAAGAAAUUUUUGUAUAACAUUGACAUAGCCCCUGAUAGGAAUUCAUUGUCAAAUGUAAAGAAGAAAUCCUCGGAAAGAAUUCAAGAGUAUGCUGUCAUGCCGCGAACAAGAGGCCAGAGUCAAACCUCCAAUAGGCGAACAAAGAUGGAUAGUGUUUUUCUUCAAUCCCAAGAGGCUAGUUAUUUUCAGAAUAUAAUGUCUGCGAUGGGGAAACCAUUUGCCGAGGCCAUCCAAAUUUGUAAAAUGGUCGAGAAUGGUUUAAAAACAAGGCGCAUAUUGAGUCAAUUGGCUAUUAGGGGCUACUUCCCUAGUAAUUUAAGGCGCGUUUGGGGGUGUAGCAAACUGAAAGAAUAAGGAAGAAGCCGCAAUGUCAUCUUCAAGGGUAAGAAAACCUUAUCCACCUAGACCUUACUUCCGUGCAAGAACCCCAUAAUAUUAUUAUCCCCAUCAGGAUGUGGCUUAUGCUACGUGUCCUCAGCCAUACGCAGGGAUGAAUGCACAUCCCUAUGUUCAUCCACAACAACAACUCAAUGAAUACUAAGCUCCAUUUCCCAGAAAUCAAGCUACUUACUAAGCUCAGUAUAAUCCUCAAACUCCACAUAAUAACUUCCCUUACUAUGCCUGUGCUCGGAAACCACCUAGGAUGGUAAACAUCACACCCAUUGCUGAGUCAUAUUCCAACUUUUUAGCCAAACUUGUCUAGAUGGGUUUAUUGCAGCCUGUACCCCAAACUAGACUGAACCUAGAUUUGCGCUCCUACAGAGCUGGUACUCGAUGUGCUUACCGCUCAGGGUCACAAAGGCACGAUAAAGAGGGUUGUUAGUCCUUGAAAAGGGGUGUUUAAAAUCUCAUUGAACAAAUGUAGAUAAUGCUAAAGGACGAAGACGCUCCUAUAUAACCAAAAAUCCAGUACCGGCUCAAAACAACAGGUCGGUUAUUGAAUGAUUUGUGAAGAUAAAGAGUUUCACCCAGCUCUAAAAGCCAUCAUUGCCAUAGCCCGUGAGAAGCCAAAGGUUGUCGGAAAAAAAGGACAAGGGAGAGAAGAAGAGUAAACCCACCCCUCAAAAUAAUAAAAGAAAGUGGAAACCGAAAAUGGGGCAGUACUCUCAAAAGAUGUUGUUCUCUAUGUUCCCCAAGGCCACAAGUAAGAACCAAUAUCAUUGAGCUCUCCCAAAAGGUUUGAGCUAAACAAGGGAUCUAAAAUAUAUAUGCCUAAAGGGACAAUUGUGGUGUGGAGGCCAGUAAUUUCAGCAACGCCAAAUGAACCUGUGGUUAUGGGUGCACAACGUAGAGGCCCAAGAUAGAUCCUACUAUCAUUCCAUGGAAUUACAUCAAGGUGGUAGUAACUUACAGGGGUGAAGAGAUAUCGGGAGAGGAAAAUGAAAGUAGCCCAGAUGAGAAAUACCUCAAUCUUGAGGAAGUGAAUAAUGCCACAAAAAAGCGUGUUCCACUCAAGAAGCCAGUUAGUACUGAAGAAGCAGAAGAUUUCUUCCGAAAAAUGAAAAUGGCGGGCUACAAGAUAAUUGACCAACUCCAAACGUCUCCUGCUCGGGACUCUUUGUCGUCUCUGCUAAUGAAUUCAAAACAUCAGAAAGUAUUGAUCAAAACCCUCAAUGAAGCGUAUAUACCCAUUGAAACCACUACGGAACAGUUGGAGAGGGUGGCGGAAAGAUUUUGCAGUCAAUCAAAUCUCUUUCAGCAAUAAUGAAUUGGCCCUUGAAGGGCCCACCCACAACAAAGCCAUUCAUCCUAUCGUUAAAUGUGAGGGAUAUUAUGUGAAAAGGGUCAUGUUGGAUAGUGGUUCUGGAGUAGAUAUUUUCCCUCUCCCAACUCUGCAACGGAUGGAGAUCGGUACAUAUAGAAUCAGGCCCAACAACGCCAAUGAGCGUGCCUUUGAUAGGAUCAAGUGAGAUACCAUAGAUGAGAUUGAUUUAAUUCUAACUAUUUGUCCGGUGAAUUUUGAGGUGAUCUUUCAGGUCUUGGACAUGGAUACUUCCUUUAAUUUCCUCUUGGGAAGACCUUGGAUUCACGCAACAGGGGUUGUACCUUUCAAUCUUCACCAAAUGGUAAUGUUUGAACAUGAAGAUCAGGAGAUUGUAGUCCAUGAAAAAGACGAGCAGUUGAUUUACCGGGACCCAUCAGUACUAUGUCCAAUUUUGUCUGAUUUUGACUAAGUCCAAGCUGAAUCAGGUUAAUGCUGAAUUAGUCAAUCAAUUAUCAAAAACUCUAUCCUAUUUAAAUCAAAGUAUACUGAAAACAACUUGUGAGAAGAACAAUUAUGAGAGGAAAGGAAGGAGCAGAAACAAAACACACAAGAUUAUCAAAACUAAGCAUGCAAGUUACACUUCUAACGAUGAAAUUUAAACAAUAAAACUGUCAAACAGAGGAAAAGAGAAAAUAACCUAAAUCAUGCAAUUACAGACAGAACAUCCACAAUGAAGAAUCAAUCAAAGAAAAGAAAAAGAAUAUGGCUAAUAAAAUAGAAAAUAGAAAGAAGAUAGAAAGCAACCUAGAAAUUACUUCUACUGAAACGAAAAAUAAAUUGGAACUGAAUAACUUGGCCGGAACUUGGCCUAGUUAGGGCAAGCUUGAAAAAUAAGUCAAACCCUUAUGAAUCAAUUUCUCUCAUCAAAAACAGUUGACUCAUGUAAGUUUGAGCCAUUAAAUCUUCUGGAAUCGACUCAGUAGAAGUGUUUAGGUUUUCAGACUUUCUAUCUGAAGUUGCUCGAUUUAGAGGCUUUUUUUCGGCAAAACAGUAUGGUAUUUGGGGUGAAGGGAGUGAGGGGAUAGCCUGGUGAAUAUUUGGGUUGACUUUGAGAGGUUAGGUUUUUUUGUAUUGAAACUCAGAUUUGAGAUUCGUGGCAUUUGCAAAUGAUUCGGGGGGAUUGUUUUGGAGAUUUGUAAAGAGGAGACGAAUGAGAUUCUAGGGUGCUGAUUUGGGGUCAUUUGGAACACCGGAGCAGUCGCGAGGCAAUUUCUGGUGGCGGUUGGCGGUGGAGACGUGGGGGUGGGAUAGAGAUGAAAUGAUCUGAUGUUAGAGGUUUGGGGAUGUGGGUUGACAAAUUUUAGGAUAGUCAUAUAGUAAUUACAAUGUUAGUUCCUAGCCAUUGGAUCAACAAAAUCAAACGGUUGUGAUAAACCAACACAAAACGGGGUCAUUUUGGGGUGACGAAUCUUGGAUCGGGUACACACAUAGGGCUUGGAUCAGCGUGGUUUCUUGGAUGGGUUUGGGUGAUUUUGGGUUGGUUUUGGUUUCAACUGGCCCAAUUCAAAAAUUAAAACUCCUUUUCAAUUCACCUCUUUUAUUCCUUUUCUUUUCUUUUGCCAUUUUUAGUUACAAAUCCUAAAUUAAAAAAAUCUUAAAUUAACCUAAAUUACAAAAUUAAACUAAUACCUAGUUAGAAUAAUUAUAAAAGUUAAUUAAUUCUAAGUUAAAAGAGAAAAAUCAAUAGUCUAAAACGUAAAAUGUAUAAUAGGCCAUUUUUGUGAUUUUUAUUUUAAUAAAACAAAUAAUUAACAGAUUAACUCUAAAAAUAUAAAAACAAAACCAGAAUGCAAUAUAUGUUAUUUUUGGUAUUAUUCAUGAUUUUAAUACAAAUUAAACGUGCACAAAAAAUACAAGCAAUUAAUAAAAUCCUACAAAAAUUCUUUAAAAUGGCAAAUAAUGAGGAAAAAAUCUAUUUUCUUGAAUUUUAUCGAAGUAGUUCAUACAGGGAAAAAAUCACAUGCUCAUCGGAUAGUGCAAGUGUCCAGGUGACAAGUUUGGCCUAGUGCACAUAGCCAUGCCAUGAUUUUUUGCUCGGACAUGGAAUUUUGCACCCUAUAUCUACUAUAAUGAAGUCGACUGGGAAGAAAAAUUUGUCCACCCUCAUUAGAAUGUCCUCACUUAUGCCCUCUGAUAUAAUAGUGGUCCAAUAAGCCAAUUGCAAAAAUACUGGCGCAGAUUUUCUCACUCCUUGUUAUUCUUCCAAUUUCUUUAAAAUCGUCAAUGGCAUCAAGUCAAUAGAUGUACCUGAGAUGCACAAAGCUUUGUCAAGAUCUUUAUAAUGAAGCUUCUAGGAUUCGCACAUUUUAGAGGUAUUUUAUUCUGUAGGAUGGAAUUACAAUGUGCAUUGAGUUUGACAACUGUCAUUCCUCGAGCUUCUUUUCACAAUAGAGGAUUUCCUUCAGAAAUUUGACAUAAACAGGCAUCUGGGCGAGCACCUCGAUGAAAGAAAUGUUCACAUACAACAAUUUCGGCAUCCCUAACAAUUUCCUAAAGCAUCUAUCUAAUUUCUCCCUCUUCAUCUUCUGAUGGAAAGGUAACAUUGGCAUGUUAUUUCUUUCUUCAACUUCACUAUUUGACUUCUGCUUAUCACCCUCCUUCUUGUUGAUGUUCACCGUAGCCAAAAUUCACCAAUUUUUUGCUCUUCUGCUAUUCUGGCUAAUUUGAUCACCCUUUCAUUGAAAUAGGAUCUGAUAAUAUUUUUCUACUCCUGAGAUACACGACCUUGAUCGUCUCUUUUGGAUUCUUCUCGGUGUCAGAAGGAUGGAUUCUUGACGAGUCCCCGAAGCCAUUUAUGAUAAAUGAUGCAAUCUGCCUCAUUUGUCUUUCUAAUUUUCGGAUGGUCUUGCCUUGUUCCUGAAUAGUUGUUUCCUGAAUCUCAAGCUUCUUAUUUGAUUUGUUUAAGAAUGCCUUCAUUAGAUCUUCAAAACAUGAUUUGUUGAGCUGUGGAGGCUAGUGUUGUUGCCUUUGUUAGUUUUCGAAGCCUGGAGGUCUUUGCAUAGGUGCUUUGGGAUUUUGUUGUACUCAUGUGUUCAAGCUACCACUUGAAUAACUCCAUGAGAACCUUAGAUGUCUCUGUCCUAUGGAGUUGAAAUUGUUACCACCUUGGCAGCUGCCUCUGCUGAAAUUCCCCAAUGCUAACUUUCUUCUAUAAUGGAGGUUUGACACUCAUGAUUUGGGUAUCUGAUUCCACAAAUGUCACAUCCCAACUAUGGUUGAUUUUACACCCGGGGUAUUGUCAAUUGCUUGAUGUCCUUAGCCAUAGCUGCAACUUGGGCCUGCGUUGCUACAAAAAUUCUACUCGGUGCACCCCGUUGAUCUUCUUCGAUCACCUUGGUCAGUAGACCAUUGUUCUACGUCUUAGAAUAGUUCAUCCAGGAGUGUGACAAUCUCUUCUGGAGUUUUCUUCAUCAGAGGGCUUGCAACCACACUAUUUAGCAAUCUCAUUGAUAAAGGAGUUAACCCUUCCCAGAAAUAUUGUAGUUGCACCCAUUUCUCCAUUCCAUUCUGAACGAACCUCGUAAUAAUUCCAUAAACCUUUCCUAUGCCUCGAGCACUGUCUCCCCUUCUCUUUGUCUGAAAUUGUGAAUCACUUUCCUCAUCCUUCCAGUCUUAGCAGCAGAGAAAUAUAUUCUAAUAAAUUGGUAGCCACCUUCUCCCAGUACGGAUUAACCUUGUGGGUAAACUCAAUAAUCACUACUUUGCAUCAUCCUUAAGUGAGGAAGGGAAUACUCUGAGAUAAAUGGAAUCAUCUUAUGCUCCAUUAUAGCGAAAUGUCUUCAUGAUUUCAUUGAAGUCUAUCAGAUGGUUAUUGGGAUCUUCAUUGGGCUUGCUUCUGAAAAUGUUGUUGUUCUGAAUGGUCCGGAUGACUCACUGCUUGAGUUCAAAUUUAUUAGCAUCAAUGGGUGGGGGCAUCACAUUGGAUUGCCACUUGUUGUAGACCGGUAUGGCCUAAUAUCCAAGAGAUCUUCCAAGCCCGACUGCAUUUCAAACACAUCUUCAACCAGGGGUCGGUUAAGGUUGAUUCUUUGAACCUGUUCAACUGUUUCUUCAGCUUCUAAUCGUGAACCCUGUUGUUGGGUUGUCUCUCUUUCUGAUAAGUUCAUUUCCUUUUUGUUUUUCACCAUUUUAAUUUGAGUUGAUGUCUAGCCCAAAAGGGAUCCACUCGAUUCUUUCUCCCUUCUCAACUAUUGCAGGUUCUUGUCUAAUUCGAGAUUAUAUAGCACCAAUGCCUCGGAGGAGGAUCGAGUCAUAUACCACUAAACUUAACAUAUUGCCUAUACACAGAUAAGAAGACCUUAAAAGAUACUAAAAUAAAAUUAUUCCCGAAUUUGCACCGAAAAUUAUUUUAAACAUUAUUAAAUCUUCAGUCCCCAGCAUUGGGGCAAAAAUUUGAAGAGCGCAAAACUAGUGUAUAAAACUUAAGCUUGCUAGUCAAAGAUAGUAUUGUUUUAAAUCUUAUCCACGGAAUUGGUUUAAAUAAUGUUCAAAAAAAUCUUCAUCUUAAUACUAUUAAGGAAAAUUAACCUUUAUAUUUGAGUUAUUAACUAUUUGCAGCAGAGCAGAUGUUGCUAUCUUAGAAGUUGGAUUAGGAGGCAAAUAUGACGCAACAAAUGUGGUUGAGAAUCCAGUUGUUUGUGGCGUAUCUUCACUUGGAUAUGACCACAUGGAAAUUCUUGGUGGAGUCUAAAACUCCGAGGAUGAGAAAGAAAUCAAAUGUUGGGACUAAAUUGAAUAUUCAGUCAAAUAAUUUGGGACAAAUAAUGGAAUCUACCCCAUAGGAGUUAAUAUAGAAGGUUUGAACAGCAUUAUCUUUAAUUGGUGUGUGGCCUUUGUCUGUUUAUCCUGCUACAACCUAACUGUGCUAGCAUAUUCUACUUAAUGCUAUUGAAUGCAGAUUGCAACUGCAAUUCUGCUAGUAAUUGUAAAACUACUGCUCAAUCAAUUAGGAAAGAGUAACUGCUAUAUGUAGUUAUAAUAUUCUCAAGAUUGUUGAUGGAUAUACUAUGUAAAUGACUUUCUGUUUAAAUUUUAAUUAAAUAAAAUGAGUAUAAUCACCUCAGCGAGAAGCGAGGCUGAGGUGGUUCGGGCAUGUACGGAGGAGGGGUCCCGAUGCCUCGGUGAGNNNNNNNNNNNNNNNNNNNNNNNNNNNNNNNNNNNNNNNNNNNNNNNNNNNNNNNNNNNNNNNNNNNNNNNNNNNNNNNNNNNNNNNNNNNNNNNNNNNNNNNNNNNNNNNNNNNNNNNNNNNNNNNNNNNNNNNNNNNNNNNNNNNNNNNNNNNNNNNNNCCCGAUGCCUCGGUGAGGAGCUGCGAGCGGCUGGAGAUUGUUGGUGGUCGGCGAGGCAGAGGGAGGCCUAAGAAGCAUUGGGGAGAGGUGAUUAGACAGAACAUGACUAAGAUGCAGGUUUCCGAGGACAUGACCCGUGAUAGGAGAGUCUGGAGGCUAGAAUCUGGGUUGUAGGUUAGGGUCUCCUAGAGUUCUUCGUACGCCUCAUCCGGGUGUGGGUCAGCAGGGUUACCCAUAGAUGAUUUGUGUUUUAGCUUAUGUCCCCCCUAUGGUNNNNNNNNNNNNNNNNNNNNNNNNNNNNNNNNNNNNNNNNNNNNNNNNNNNNNNNNNNNNNNNNNNNNNNNNNNNNNNNNNNNNNNNNNNNNNNNNNNNNNNNNNNNNNNNNNNNNNNNNNNNNNNNNNNNNNNNNNNNNNNNNNNNNNNNNNNNNNNNNNNNNNNNNNNNNNCUUUCGGGUAGGGGUAAGGCUCGUCUACAUAUUACCCUCCCCAAACCCCACCUGGUGGGAGUAUACUGGGUAGUUGUUGUUGUUGUUGUUGUUGUUUUGAGUUAUUAACUAACUAAGAGUAAAAACUAAGAUUCUCAAUUUUGAAUGAAUAAUGGAACGACAUAGCAACGAAUGAAUAUCAAUGUGAAGAAUAAGGGCUUUGAAAAGAUAUGUGAUCGCUUAUUACUCGGGAUAACUCUGUGCUAAGUUCACUCAUAAAUUAUAUUGACUCUUUCGAUUGCAACAGAUGAUUAAGCUAUAUUAAGGAUUAAAAUUUUUCUUUCGAAAGAAUGAGAGUUAUGCUCAAACAACCUACAUAUAAGUGCUAUGAAGAUAUGCAAGAAUACAUUAGAUGAAUAUUCUUACAAAGAACAUCUCUCGACAAUUCAUCUACAUUGGAUCAAUUGAUAAUUCCAAACUCUUUUGGUAACCCAUGAGAGCUGUGAAAUUAACCCAACAGUAUAACACAAUGAUAAAUGUUGUAACAGUUAUCUUCCGAUUAAAGUGAAACCCCUAUUAACUUUGUAAUUUAAUUCAAACAUCGUUCCACAAUUCAAGCAACUAAUAGCAAUCAAAACCUCGAAUAAUAAUCAAUUCACGAUAUCCGUCAAUAACAAUGAGAAAGACUACUCCAUAGUGGAGAAUGUGUUCAUCAAAAGAGUAUUAAGAUUUAAGAAGAUAAGAAAAAAUUACAAACCAUGAAUUCAAACAAAAAUUCGUAUUGAAUGAUUUAUAUGAAGUAUUCAAAAUUUAUAUCGAUUCCUUGCCUUUUUCUCUUUAAAAAUUUCUCCAAAAAUCCGUCCUCCCUAGGUUGGAACGAGCAUACACUUUAUAUAAGAAAAAAAAGAAAAAUCUAGUAAAGUAACUACUAGAACCAAAUAGGCUUUCUACACAUGCAUCGUCUAAAACAACGAUUUUUAUCAGCUGUAGCAAAGAAAGAAACUUCAUAGAAGUCAAAAUAGGAAAAAAUAAAAAUGCCUAGCAACUUUUUUCUAUGGAUAUAAGGCUUUAAUUGAUAGAGAUAGAGGAAGCAAGGUGAAUGCCGAUAAAUUACAAAAUUAGGCCUGACUUAAGUUUUUUGGAGAUGGACAUGCGCGGCCGUGCAUCUGGGUGUAUGACCGUGCAUAUGCUUGCGCACAUCUACCAGUUCAUCUAUGAUACUUGCGCUCUCAUGCGCGUGGUUGGGGAUUCUCGUGCGCGUCCACAUAAGAGAAGUUCCUCCUCUCCCAGCUUUGUUUCCUUCCUCAUCAUGCAAUUAUUUGUCCCGUGAUCCCCUCCGCACCGCCUGGACAGAAAAGCAAAAUAUUGGACAAUAAUCAGACUAAAUAUCUAGAAAAUCAACAAAAUCAAGGCCACAAAUCGAACAUAAAUUUGAGAUUUUAAGCUCAUCAAACACCCUACACUUAUAUUUUGCUUGUCCACAGAAAAUCUAUUACUAAACUACUCCUUACACUGCAAC